rnacentral:lncRNA from 1 species
UUAUACAACCCUAACUUCUACAUUAGGCAAGAAGCUCCUAAGGUUUGAGAGAGAUGGCUUCAAAAAGAUCGGCAUCGGUUGCCCUCUUUUUUGCACUCAACAUUCUCUUCUUUUCACUUGUCAGUGCUAAUUGUUCUUGCCCUUCCCCCAAACCCAAACCAAACCCCACUCCCUCCCCAACUCCUGCUGCGGAAGGAAAAUGCCCCAUAAAUACCCUUAAACUAGGUGUAUGUGCUGAGGUGCUUGGUUUAGUCAAUGUAACUGUUGGGUCACCCCCAGUUCAACCUUGCUGCACCCUUAUCAAAGGCCUUGCUGAUCUUGAAGCAGCUGUUUGCCUUUGCACAGCGAUCAAAGGCAACAUUUUGGGUAUCAAUCUUAAUAUUCCAGUUUCCCUCAGCUUGCUUCUAAAUGUCUGCUCAAAAAAAGUUCCAUCCGGCUUCCAAUGUCCCUGAUCACUCUUCCAAAUUCUUUCUUUUCUCAGUAUUUUUCAUGCUUAGUUCGCAACGGUAACUGUCUGUUUCCCUGUUGUAGUGUUUGUUUGGUUGCGAAUUGAUACUAAAUAAGUGUAGUGCUUUUAUUUAUUCAAGUGUUUAUUUUUGGGUUUAUGUAUUUUAUGGAAAAGUGAAAGUGUAGUAUUAUUGGUAUGUUGAUUUGAAUAAACCAUCCAUUGUUAUAAGUUUGUCUAAAUUAAUUUCUCAAUGUUGUCACGCUAUAUAUAUUAAACAUGUGUCCUUACUCCUACCUUCAUGUAUUUUGAUUAUAAGCAUUGGAUUUGAUUUCUAAACAUUUAUUAAGAAUAAUAAGUAAACUUUAAUAAGUUUUUUCUUUGACGCAUAAUAUUUUCAAGUUAACAAUAUAUCAAAAGAGUAUAAUAAUUAAUGAGUAAUCAAAAUACACUUGGAUGUAAGUUAUGGCAAACUUAUUGGGGCGUAUGAGGUAAUUAUAAGUUAUGGCAUAAAUACUGUCGAAACAAGAGAAUAAACACAAAAAAUUUGGUCUACCUUAAUUUGUGUGUCUUGUUCAAACAAAAUUUUACUCUUACAUUAUCGUAACCCAAUUUAUUUUAACUUCUGGUUAACUAUAACCUCAUCCUAGUAUAUUUAGUGUGAACUCUGCCAAACAACCUCUCCUAAUAUGAAUAAACAAUAAAUGCACUUAAUAAAAUUCCUUCAACUUUGAAGUAUGUUACCUUUAAUCUCAAAUUUGUAUUCAUAUAAUGUGAAUAAAAUCCAUUAAGCUUUUAAAGUUUUACCUUAAUGUUUAUCUCUAAGCUUCUUUGAAUACGUUAUCUUCAUGUCUUUAUAUUAUCUUCCAACUCUAUCUCUCACGCUUGGAUUAGAAUGUUUUGAAAGUUUGUUGUUAAAGAUUGGGAUAACAACUUUUCGAGACUCAUACUUCAAAUAAAACUCUUCCAUCUUAAAAUCUUUUUAAGGGUGAGUUUGAUAAAUUAUAGAAAUUUUUCAUUUCAGUGAAAAUAAAAAAUUUAACAUUUAAUAUUUUAAAUAUAUUUAAUAGUUAUUUUAAUUUUUUAUUUAAUAUAAAAUAUUGAAUAACAUAAGUAGAUAAGUAGCUACUUAUCACUUAAUGUAAAAAAUAUUAAGUUGAUUUUAUUUUAUUAAAUUUGAAUUGAAUGAUUUGAAAACAAAAGAUAAUCAAAUUGUCAUAUUUAUCUUCUAUCCAAAAUAAUAUAAAAUAUUAUAUUAAUAAAAUUAAAAAUAAAAAUAAAUAAUCUUUUAAAAAUUAAUAUUUAUUUUUAUCAAAUAACAUAAUUUAUAUUUACUAAUUUAUCAAAUAUUUUUCUAAUAUAAAUUCAAUACUUGUAAAAUUUAGCAAAAAAAAAAAUUAAUACUUAAUUUUUUAGAAUUUAAAAUUUUAAUUUAUCAAAUACAUUAAAUAGAUAGAUGCGGCCAUGAAUAUCCCACAUUUUUAACCAUUAUAAGAUAAUUAUGAACAUAAAAAUAAAUGCAAAGUAAAAACAAAAUUGCUGACAAAUAAAAAUUGAUGCAUAAACAACUUUUAGUUUGCCAUGCGGGAACAGUUUGUACGUAUCACAAAUUAUUGUGUACUAACAAGUUAUAUUCUUAUUCUAUAAAAAAUCAUUAAUUAAAAUAAUUUAAAAUAAAUAUUUUUUCCCAGUAACUAAAACAAAUAAAAAUAAAAGUAUUUUAUUUUAAUAAACAUAUAUUUAUAUAUAAAAAAACAUGAGUUAAAUUCAUUACAUUAUUAAAUUCACAUUAAUUAAUACCUUAUUUAUAUAUUACUAAUUAUUAUGAGAUAAUAAUAAAAGUAACAUUAAUUAACUAUUAAUUCAUUAAAGGUAAUUGAAUAACUUAAAAAUAAUAAAAUCCCUUAAAUAAAUUAUAGAUAUUACAUAUAUUAUUAACUAUUAUGUGAUCAUAAAAAAAAUUAUUUAAUUGUGCAUGUAGUUUUUUAGUUUCACAUUUCUUUUUAAAUAAAUAUUAGAAAUCUUAACACACGUGUAUACGUGUGAAAACUAUAUAUUUCAAAUACAGAUGCUUGUUUAAAAGUAACAUAUAAUAAACAUUGAUAUGUAUAGUUUGAAACUAAUUAAUCAUAAUAACAUAUGAAAUAUGUACAAUAUUAAAAUAAAAAAAUAGAUUAAAUUAGGACUAAAAUGAAACCUAAACACAUAAAUAUAUCAGAUAAAUAAUACGAAAUGCACUACAGUUAUUUAUUAUGGUUUUGUCAUUAAUUAUGAGUUGGUGUCAAGUUGACUUGUGACACCAACUCAAUGAACAACAUUAUUAAGAUAUACAACUUAUAGAGAUAAUAAAUUGUGUAUAUUAAAGUUAAAAUGUAUAAAAAUAUAUUAAAAUUGUUAUAGAAAAAUUAAUAAAACAAUAAUAAUAAGUAAAAGGUGGAUGAAAAAUACGGGAGAAUUUUUUCAUAUCUUCAUUUCACUCACGUAAGGAUUCUAUUUAUAAGUAAUUAACAUUCAAUGCAAUAUACUAAAUGAAGCUUAUUUAAGUAUUUCAUUGACACAUACAUUAAACAACUUGCAUAAUGAAUGAGAGGUUUUAUAUUAUAAAUGAAGGGGGUUAGAAUAUGAAUAUCCACAUUUAUUUGUAACACUUCCCCUUAGAUAUCCACUAGAGAAAACUGUGUAUCAUUAAAACCUUUAUGAGGAAAAAUCCUGUGGGAUAAAAUCCUAAUAAAGGAAAAAGAGUACAUAAUCUCUUAUUGAUAAGCUAUACAAGUAACAUAUUUUCAUCUCAUUCUUAAUGCGUUUUUGAAUGAUUAAUUAUGCAAAUUAGUAAAUUUUAUGCUCCUAAUCCUUUAAAUUCAUAUUUCUAUACUUAGGAGAGCAUUUAAGAGUGAAAGGAGCGAAAAACGAGCCAAAAUUGGAUAAAUAGAACUGUUUUCAGGAGCCAUAUGGCUGGGGCAUUUCUAAGUGGGUUGGGCACACGCCUAUAUAAGUCACACGGGCUAGCCACAUGCCCAUGAGCUAGCCCAUGUCAAUUUCACACCCUACUUCCCUAAUACGCAGAAAAACCCAAUUUUUAAGCUUUCUGAGCAUUUUAAAGUCUAUAAAUACCCAUUAGAAGAAGACAUAAGGGGGCAAUCAGAAAAGAUCGAAGAAAACACUCGAAGAACACCAUCGGAAUCAACUCGAAAGCGGAUCUCCAUCAAUAUCGAAGAUCUCCUUUUAAUUUCUUUCGAAGUUUUAUUAAGUUUCUUAUGUCUUGUAGUUAUUCUGACUUUGAGAUGUUUUCAUUCAGGAUUAUAAACUAACUCCCUAGAUACUUAGGGAGGAUGAAACCUAUGAUGAAUCUUUUUAUUUAAUAUCUGCUUUUACACGAUAAAUAUUUGAUUCUUGUUCUCAAUUAUGUAAGCUUAUUUCUUAUUUUAGUAUUUUCGAAAUAUUAAUUCAUAUUUAAUGUGCUUAAUUCAAUGGAGCAAAAGUUUCUGUUUAAGAGUAGAUCUAGCAUAAUAGAGUAGAGUUGCCACUAUAGGAAAAUAGACUUUUAGCGGCUUUUUUUAGCCUUUAGUAGCGUUUUCACAAGCGCCGCAAAAAACGCCGCUAUAGAAAACGUCGUAAAAACUUGCGGCGUUUAUUUGAAAAAAAUGCCACAAAAGAUCAUGACUUUUAGUGGCGUUUGUGGGAAAGGCGCCGCUAAAAUUUAUGGCUUUUAGCGGCAUUUGAGGGAAAAGUGUUGCUAAAAGUCAUGGCUUUUAAUGACGUUUUUGGGAAAAGCGCCGCUAAAAGUCACGGCUUUUAGCAGCAUUUGUGGGAAAAGAUAAAUCUAAAUGAUACUUCAAAUUCAAUGAAAGAUAUAUGAUGUAAAUUAAUAAAUGAAGUAUAACUCAAAAUAUUCUUACAAUAAUGUUAAAUGUGACAAUGUUAAAAUAUUCUUCCAACGAGAAAACAAAUGUCUAAGAUAGCGGCUUUUGCGACUGCUGAAACAUCUGCAUCAUAUGCUGAAGCUGUAGCUAGAGCUCAUCGUACUUUUUGCUCUGCUCUGCUACCAUCGCUACUGCCUCUGCCUCCCUCACUGCUGCCACUGCCUCUCUCGCUGCUGCAUCCGCUCUAAGUUGUUGUUGGAGUUCUUCAUAUGUUCUUUCAACCUCGGCAAUUUGCUCAACUGUGUUCGCUUGCAUCUGAGCUAUCUGGUCUCUUAACCUCUGAACUUCAGCUUGAGCUUGACUCCCGGAAGGCAUGUAUUGCUAGGAGCCGGAUCCAAAAUAUUGGGUCGGGGUAACACCAUAUCCUUGAAAUCGAACCCGACCAUACCUUUCAGGACCAAAAACUUCAGUAAUAAUUAUGUUAUCAAUGUUCUCAAGAUUAACAGAACUAUCAGUCGAAGCAACCGCUUCAUACUCCGCCUUCUUCUCCUUUAGUUUCUCCUAAUAAAUCAAUCAAAGAGUUAGAAACAAAAUAUAUAAUAAAAAGGAAUGCAACAUAACUUAACAUUAUUUAAAACUACUACCGACGAAUUAAACCAUUAUAAUUAAACAUUAUAAAUAUUUAUAAUAAAUCAAAUUUUAUUAAGUAAAUAUACCAUAAUUUCUCCAGCUUCGGAUGUCAUAGGAGAUCCAUCUUUCUUCCUAUGCGUAAUCUCAAAAAGCUGAAGGCGUCCAACUUUUUGACCAGACGAGACUUCCUAUAAUAUAGUAGUAAAAAUAUUAUUUAAUAGUAGAAAGUCAUUAAUAUUUGAUAGAAUUAAUAAAUACAUAAUACCUCGGCCUCAGCUACAGAAAAAAACUUCUCGACCCUGCCAUGUGCGUGAAUUUUUGUUUUUGCCUGCUGCUUGUUCCAACUUGUUCACGGUCCUACAUAAUGUAACUAUUAUUACAUAUAUAGUAAACACUAUAUACCAAAAAAUUUAUAAGAAUUUGGAAGUACGUAAUACCUCUCCUUUCUUUGAAUUCCAGAAUCUAACCGCAUCUUCCCAUUGGUACCUCAGCAUUCUUGGCGGGACAUUUCGCUAUUUUUCUUCGAGGCUUAUGUCUUUCUUAAAAUAUUGUUUUUUUCAAAGUGCUUUUAUGGUCUCUCCAUUUUUUACCCAAUGCCUUCUUGAUAUAGUCAUCCAAGACCUUUAAAACAAAUUUCUCCUAAAAAAAUACAAGUUUAGAAUGUAAAUAUAAAUGAAACUUAAACCAAAGUAUUAUAAAUUACAUCCACGUUUUGUUACCUUAAUAGUAUCGAGAGUUUGAUUUUUGUUGUUAUUAGGCAUGUGAUGCCAUGAUUCGUAGUUGAUAGGCAACAUAUUGGCAUUUCGUGCUAUAAUGCCCAAAUAGCCUGCUAAAAAUCGAGCUUUAGAUCCAACAGGCUGACCAUGACUAUUUCUACUUACUUUGACACGCUCGACAGGAUUUAAGUUGUAUAAAUCUUUAAGUAGCGUACGUCCUCGACCUCUACGCGUCUCACCACUUUCAGCUGAAAAACGAUAUGUUAUUAUUUAUAUUAAAAUUGAAAAAUAAAUCAAUAAUACAAGUCAACACACAUGUAAAAUAAACUUAACAUUACUUUGAAAUUCUGCAGACUCGUCAAGUGUCUCCGGCACAUUCGAAGAUCCAAUAACUGUCUGUUGUUCACUAUUUGCUUCUUCCGAAUUUGGAGUAUUCUGGAUCAUAUUUAAAUCUCGUAAUCUUCUUCUACACAUUUUUCUUGCAAUACACAUAAAAUAGUUGAAAUUUUAGUAACAAAUUACAACAAUAAUAGUUUUGUUACAACAAUAAUAGUACAUAUAAAAUAGUUAAAUUAUAUAACAUGAGCAAGAUUAAAAUUAUAAUAUUACAUAUAAUUAAAAAAUCGUAAAAUCUUACUACAUCAUAAUUCGUAAAUAUCUUCAUCCACAUCCUAACGAAACCAUUGAAAUUGUGUACUAGUACUAGGGAUAUUUUCAUUUAAGUUUUGUUCUGGAAAACAUAAAGUUUUUGAUCUUUUGACGAUUUCAUCUCUACUUCCAUUGCCCAUGUCAAACAAGUCAUUAGGGGUGUUUCAGAGUACAAUGUACCAACCCUCAUCAGUUGGAUCUUUCGAGUAAAAAAACUUGUUUCACUUAAGAAGAAAAUACAUACUGCUCGUCUAUCAAUUGUUCUUCAGUGUGAAUCAAUCGAGAGAAAUUCUCCAUUGUAAAACCAAAUUGAUCGUUUUUAAUUCCGCGAGCAGUAUUAACAUCAGCCCAAUCACAUCGAAAUAAGACAACUUUCCAUUUUCCAUAGUAAUCUAACUCAAUAAUAUCAGUAAGAAGUCCAUAAUACUCCACAUUUCCCUCAACGGGAUUACUGUCCCUAGCACUAACCUCAAUCUCUCGCGAUAUUUUGUAUGAAAUCUAAAUCCAUUGAUGAUGAAGGCACUAUAUCAUUUUACUACUCUAUUCGGGUCUUGGGAAAGCCAUUUAACUUCUUCAUUAACUUCAUUACCACUCCAAACCUAUUGAAUCGAAAGUAAAUUGAGUAAUUAUAAAUGUUAUGAGAAAACAUUAUUAUUUGUCAAUAAAAGGUUGCGUUGUAUACCAUUUGGCUUAACCAUUCAUGGAAAGAUUCUGUGAAUAACUUAUUAAUCUCUCGUUGUUGUAAUCUUCGAGAGCGUGAACGAGAUCUCAAGAUUUGUUUGUACUCAUUAUGUUAAAAAGAGGUUUAAUUGGUUAGAAAAUAAACAAAUAAAAAAGAUGAAUAUUUAUCAUAUUCUAGAACUUACUUGCGUAAUGGUUCAAUUGAAUUGUGGUGAAAUAGAACAUAUCUAUGUGCUUGUACCCAAGAUCUUUCAUCUAAUUCUGCAAUUUCAACUUUACUGAUUGGUUCUCUAUAACUUUGAAAUAAAUAAGUUUCGGCGAAGUUGGGAUCAUUGAGCCCAACAUUUCUACUUGGUUUAUUCAAUCGUGUUUCAACAUCUUCUAAAUAUCUAGAACAGAAGAUCAUACACUCCUCUUCCAAGUAGCCUUCAGCAAUUGAUCCUUCUGGAUAACGCUUAUUUUGAUAAUAAGACUUCAAUUUGCUUAGGAACCUAAAUACGAUAUACAACAUUAUCAAAAGUUGUAACUAAAUGUAUAGAGGUGAAUGAAUGAAUACUCUACAAAUAAAUUAGCACAUUUCUAUAGGAUACAUCCAUCGAUAGAAAACCAGUCCACUAAUUAUUUCUUUAUAAGAGAGAUGGAUUACCAAGUGCACCAUAAUAGUGAAGAAGGAAGGUGGAAAGAUCUUCUCCAAAUUGCAUAAAUUCAAAACGGCUCGAUCCUGUACUUUCUCAAGUUCUUCAACAUCCAAAACUUUGCCACAAAUAGCAUUCAUUAUACUGGAAAGUUCAAUUAUCCAAGACGUAACCUUUUUUGACAUACAGCACCGUAAAACAAGUAGUAGUAAAUCUUGCAUCAAGAUAUGAUAAUCAUGUGAUUUUAAAGAAUAUAGUCUUCGAUCUUUAAGACUCACACAUCGAGAUAUAUUUGAUGCAUACGCAUCUGGGACCUUUAUAUCCUUCAACACCGUGCAGAACACUUCUUUCUCUUCCUUCGACAUUGCAAAAAUUAGAGGCAGCAACCGAUAUUUCCCAUUCAGAAGUACUUGGGGAUGAAGAUCACGUCGAAUUCCCAUGUCAACUAAAUCAAGUCGACUCUGAAGAUUAUUUUUUGAUUUUCCAUCGACAUUCAAAAUUGCCCCAAUGAUGUUCUUGCAAACAUUAUUCUCAAUAUGCAUGACAUCAAGAUUGUGUCGUAAAAUGUGAUGCUCCCAAUAAGGCAACUAAAAAAAAAACUUCUUUUUUUCCACAAGUCCGCCUCCUUACGAUCAUCCUCUUCAUUAGAUUCAUCAUCAGAUUUGUCCUUUGAUUUUCUCCUUGCUUGUAUGUUGUAUGGUUGAUUCAUCUCCGCAUAACUGAAAUCCAUAUAUUUUAACAUGAAUAAGAUUUCAGAUCCAAUGGUCUACUCAGGAGCUUCUCUAAACUCUUCAGUACUGUCAAAUAAAGUCCUUUGAAAUCUAAAUCUAUGAUUUCCAUCCAACCACCGACAAUGCCCCAUAUAACAGAACUUCUUCUUAUUAUGUAACCAUUUCGAACAUGUUUGCGCAGCACAACAAGGACAAGCAUAACGUCCUUUGGUACUCCAACCAGAUAAAUUGACAUAAGCCGGGAAAUCAUUAAUUGUCCAUAACAAAACUGCAUGAUAAACCGUAAUUUAAACAUAUUUCUAGCCCAUGCUUAGCACAUUUUAUGGAUGAUUUUUCCUUAAAAUUGGUGAAUUCGAUGCUCCUAAUGCCUUAAUUUCAUGUUUUAUACUUAUGUGAGCAUAGGAAAGUGAAAGAAAAGAGAAACGGGUCAAAAAACGGAGAAAAUGGACUAACGUACGAAAUCAACACAGCCUGAACCUCCUCACACGGGCAGACCACACGGCCGUCUCAAUUUGGCAAAAUCGAAGCACGACUUACACAGGUGGACCACACACCCCUACCUAUCUAACAAGUUUAACCACGGGCUAAAUUAAUCGCACACGGGCGUGUCAUACAGGCGUGUCAGACGGGCGUGUCCCUGUCGAGUCCAAAUUGAGUCCAAUUUGGAAAAGGCCAAUUUUGAGGGUUCUUAGGCAUUCUAAAGCUAUAAAAACACCCUAGAGGAGGAAGAAAGGGGCCAAAUAGAGAAGGAAGCAGGGAACUGCUCAAAGAAAGCCGAAUGAUCCAUCUUAGAAGCAGGAUUCAUCAUCAAGACUGAAAAUCUUCCCUCAAUUUCCCUCCAGGAGUUUUGUUUUUUUCUUUAUGUUUUGUAUUCAUUAUUCUUCUGAGAUGUUUACCUUUUUAGUUAUGGACUAAAACCCCUAAAUACCUAAGGGGGAUGAAACCUAAGACAGAUCUUGUUAUUAUUAUCUGAAUUGUAUGAUAAAUAUUUAACUUGUUCUUAAUUAUGUGUUCUUAAUUAUUGUCUUGAUAUUCCAGGAUAUUGAUUCAAGUUAAGCUCUUAUUCAGAUGAGGAAUAGACCCUGUCUAAGAGUACAUUUGUCAUAAUUAAGCGGAGUUGAUUGCGCGCCUAGAGAUAGGGUGACAAGAUUUUUUCGGAUUAGGGUAAAACCUAAUAAGGGGAUCCAUAGAUCGAGUUAAUGCAACCCUAGGGACUUAAUUAGAAAGAGAUUUCAAUUAUUCAACCUAGGGUUAGACGUUGUUAGUCUCGAGAGGGAUAAUAAUAUAACUUAGGGAUUUCUACGGAUCAAGUCAACUGAAUAAAUCGUUCGAUUCAGAGUCAAAUAACAAGUGAAGUCUAGGUGGAUUUGUCCUUAGGUAUUGUCUUAAUUCAAUCAUUUUUCCAAAAGUAAUUCCCCAAUUCUAUUUUUUGUGAUUUCUUAGUUUAGUUAAUUAGUUAGAUAAAAAAAACCCUUUUAUUUUUUAGGCUAGAUAAUAAAAAGAAAAGUUAAUACUAGUAGUUUUAGUUCCUUUGGGUUCAAUAAUCCAGUCUUGCUAAAGCUAUACUACUAUUCUAUAGGUACACUUGCCUUCAUCGUGAUAAUAAUUAGUUUCAAGAAUGAUUCAUUAUAAAUAUUUAAAACCUGUCACGAAUAUCACGUAUCAAGUUUUUGGCGUCGUUGCCGGGGAACUAAGAUAUUAGGAACACUCGAUUUUUAUUACUUUAGCCAUUUACUUUUACUGCAAUCUAAAUUUUAUUCUAAUUUUUAAUAUUAAUUCUUAUUUUUCCCUUUUUCUAGCAGGUCCUUAUAGUUUAUGACUAGAAGAAACCCGUCAGGACCAUUACUUUUUGACAGUGAGAUCGAUCGUACAGUUCGCAGAAACCAAAGAGAAAUAAGGCGAAGCUUAAGAUACAUAGAGAACUAGCAAGAGGACGAUAUUCAAACCAAAACCGAGGAGAUGACUGAGAACCAAGAAAAUUCACUACCUCCUGUAGUUGCUAUUAAUCAAAAUCCUACUCUGCGCACUAUGUAUGAUUAUGCUAAACCUAAUUUAUCAGGAACUUAGUCAAGUAUAGUUAGACCUGUUAUUGCUUCAAAUAAUUUUGAACUAAAACCUAAUACGAUUCAAAUGAUAUAAUAGUUUGUUCAGUUUGAUGGUUUGUAGGACGAGGAUCCCAAUGCUCACUUGGCAAAUUUUCUAGAAUUUUAUGAUACCUUUAAAAUUAAUGGCAUUUUUUAUGAUGCAAUUCACCUUCGAUUGUUUCCCUUUUUUGUUAAGGAAUAAAGCUAAAUAAUGGUUGAACUCGUUACCACAAGGGUCAAUCACUACUUGGGAACAAAUGACCGAAAAUUUUUUAUUAAAAUAUUUUCCACCAGCUAAAACAGCCAAAUUACGUAAUGAUAUCUCUUCUUUUGUGCAGAUAGAUUUAGAAACACUCUACGAUGCAUGAGAGAGAUACAAGGACGUUUUGAGAAGGUGCCCUCACCAUGGGUUACCGCUUUGCCUACAGGUUCAAAUGUUCCAUAAUGGCCUAAAUCCUUCGACUCGGCAGAUUAUUGAUGCAGCCGCUGGAGGAACUAUCAAUAAUAAGACACCUAAGGCGGCUUACGAAUUUAUUGAGCAGAUGUCACUGAAUAACUAUCAGUGGCAAGUUAUGAGAACAAAGUCGACGAAAGCAGCCGGUGUUUUCAACCUCGACGCGGUUACUAUGUUAUCUAACCAAGUAGAACUCUUAAAUAAAAAAGAUUGACGGUUUGUGUGGUUCCACUCAAGUGCAUCCAAUGAUGAGGUGCGAUUCGAAUGGAGGAGGAGCAUGCACAGAAUAUCAACCCUUCAACCUUAGCAUCGAGGAGGAACAAGUCCAAUAUAUGGGUAACAAUAACUCUAGAUCCUAAAAUAACCCAUAUAGCAAUACCUACAAUGUAGGUUGGAGGAACAACCCAAAUUUUUCAUGGGGCGGUCAAGGAAAUCAAAGGCCACAACAUCUUCCGGGCUUUCAACAACCACCUUACCAGCCAGAAAAGAAGCCGAACCUUGAGGAGAUGCUAACCAAAUUCAUCUCGGUGUCAGAAACUCAUUUUCAGAAUACCGAGACAGUACUUAAGAAUCAACAAGCAUCGAUCCAAGGGCUAGAAACUCAAAUUGGACAGCUUGCCAAGUUGAUUUCUGAAUGACCAUAAGGUAGCUUGCCAAGCAACAUAGAAUCUAGCCCAAGGGAGCAACUCAACACGAUUACUAGUCAAGAUGAGGAAGGGUUAGUCAUACCUAAACCAGAACGAAGGCAAGAAACUGAGAUAAGCAAAAGUAAAGGUGAGGUAGACCACCAUGAGCAGAAAUUGGUAAGUACAGAGUAUAAACCUUGUGUGCCAUACCCCAAUGGGACAAGGAAAGACCACUCAGACGAACAAUUUGGUAAAUUCCUUAAACUUUUAAAGAAACUACAUAUUAACCUACCGUUUAUUGAAGUACUUUUGUAGAUGCUAAAUGCAGUCAAAUUUUUAAAGGAGCUUCUAGCAAAUAAACGAAAGUUAGAUGAAAGAUCACAUGUGGAGUUGAAUGUGGUUUGCUCAGCCAUUCUUCAGAAUAAGCUACCCAAAAAACUAAAAGAUCCAGGGAGUUUUACGAUUCCUUGUUUAAUUGGUAGUUUAGAUGUAAAUAAUGCAUUAGCUUAUUUAGGGGCUAGUAUUAACGUCAUGCCUUACAAAAUGUUUAAACAACUAAGUCUUGGGAAACCCAAACAGACUAGGAUGAGCAUCCAAUUAGCAGAUAAAACUAUAAGAUUUCCUAGGGGUAUUAUUGAAGAUGUACUCGUUAAAAUUGACAAAUUUAUGUUUCCCGUUGACUUCGUUGUUUUAGACAUAGAGGAGGAUAGCAACACUCUUUUGAUUUUAGGAAGGCCCUUUUUAGCAACUGCUAGAAUGGUUAUUGAUGUUGGCAUAGGUGAGCUCACACUUCGUGUGGGAGAUGAAACAAUCACCCUUCAAGCUCGCAAUUUCGGCAACACACUGAAAAUUGAAGGUGAUUGUCUAAACCAUUCUACUAAAACUGACAAUAUGGUGCAACCUACUUUGUAGGAAAUGAGUUUGAAGGAAGUACAUGAGCCAUUUUCAAGCAAUAGUAGAGGACCUAUUCAUGAAGAACGAAGGCUACAAAUAGAGGAGCUAGAUGAAUGGUGGACAUAAAAAUCGAGAACACACGAUAAACCAAAACUAUGCCAGAACAAGCUCAAUACCUUUCCAAAUCAACUUAAGGUUAGAGAUAAAGUUUUAUUAGAUGCCGCAGAUUCUCACAUGGUCAUUGCCAAACCGAAUGAAGAAAUUCCUCUUACAGUACUUAGCAUUUUCCUAUUUGGUACAGUCGAGAUAAGUCAUCCCAAGUUUGGCACUUUUAAGGUAAACAAUACCCGCUUAAAACCUUAUUUUGAUGAGAUUCAUAGCAGGAAUGAGGAGUAUAAACUCCUCGAACCACCAUGACCAUUCAAUGGAGAGGUAAGUCGAGCUUAGACUAUAAAUAAGCGCUUCUCGGGAGGUAACCCUAGCACUAACCGUAUUAACUUCUUUAAAUUUAGUGUUUAACACCUAACUUACUAACGGAGCUCUUGAACACAGGAUUACCACACAGACACGGCCAAGCACAUAGGUGUGCUUAGGACCGUGUAGAAACAGGGCAAAGAUUUUCCCCAGCACGGGCUACGAUAAAUCGCCAUAGCUGUGUGGCAUGGCCGUGGGCGAACCUGCCAAAACAACACGGGCGUACGACACGCCCGUGCCUGGAAAUCGUGGUCGAACCUAUCAAAUAAACACAGGCGUGCGACACCCUCGUGCUGAGCAACCGUGGGCGAACCUGUCAGAUUAACAUGGGCAUGGAAGAAGUGAAUGAAGACAUACUCGGCCAUGCAACACCGUCGUUUGCACCCACACGCCCAAAGAACAAGGGCAUGGGCCAAAUGUCAGACGCACCCAAAUUUAAAAUUCGCGAAUCACACAGGCAAAAAUUGGGGAACACGGGCAUGUUCCCUGGCCAUGUGUCCCAAAAUCUAUAAAUACCUUUCACUAUUCAUCAUCUUCUUCACCCAAAAUCCCUAACCCUAGCCGCUGCAAGUUCACACGACCUCCCACCAUGCUAGUGCACCACUUCCAACCCUAUUUUUGAUGCUCAUUCUCCUCUUUCUAGCUUUUGUUUACUUUUUCUUUCUUUUAUUUUACUGAUUUCUAAUGCUAUUUAUCAUAGUAAUCUGUAUUUUUCAUGUUAUUUUCAUCUUUCUAUCACUUCAAUUUCAUAUCUAGACUAGUUAUCAUCUUUUUUCAUGUUGAAGUUCUUACUCACUGCAUGAUCUAUCUGCUCCACUUGACUAGUUUAAAGUGAAUAUUUAUUGUUAGGAUAAUAGAAAUACUCAUAACUUUUGGGUUGACAUUUUCCAUCAAUAAAAUAUGCUACAUAGAACUAUUUGCCAUUUUUAUGAAACUCAUACCAUUAUUAUGCUAAUGAUACACCAUAAAAUUAAUUGUUUUUGAUUAAGUUUACUAGUAGUUGUGAUUGAGAUUAUUAGUUUUAAUUUAUGACUUUUGCAUUUUUAAAUUUGUUUUCGUCUUACCUUGAUCAUUCAUCAUGACGAAAUAAUGGUUUUGCUUGUCGGUAUACCAUGUCAUCUUCAUGAGGAAAGAAAGCCGCCGUCCUUGCUUCGAAGAAAAGGAAGAGAUCGUCAUCUUCCUCGGGUCUUACAGCGAAAAUUUGUCACCCUUUCCUGCAGUUCCCCAUUGGGCCCCAAGAAGAAAUUUUCUAGAUCCUACGGGCCUGACCCUUGGAAGUGGGCUGCUGUAUAGACUGGGCCACGCUAGAACAAGUCCAACUCGCGGAUGCAAUUUGGGACCUUCUCACCACUAAUCCUUGGGGGAUUUUUUUUAGAUUGUCGAGCCCACAUAUCUCGAACUCACUAUGGAACUCUGCUCAACGUUCCAUCUUCAGACCGUGAUGGCCCGCUUUAAUAACCCAGGAAUAAUUCAAUUUCGCCUAGGCGAUCUAGUCUGCCAGUCCCAGAGUUCAGAACUGCACUGGGCCUUUACAUUGAGGAGUUCAUGGAGGAGAAUGAACUCCACGCUCUCAAUCGCCACAUCCAUCACUCUCCUUCACGGUGUUAGAAUGCCCUCACCCUCGGCGCUGCCUCCUACAAUCCUAGCCGCUCCAAGGCAUCGGCUCUCCCUCCAUCUCUGAGGUACUUACACGCCACUUUGGCUCACACGUUAAUAGGAAGGCGAGAGAGCACUAGAGUCAUCAACACUCACGAUGCCUACUUUCUAUGGUGUAUGUGGCACGAGAACGUCAUAGACUUUACUUAUUUCAUUGCCCUCGCCAUUCAACGUCAGAUGGAGCGACAUAGGAAGGGGGUCAUCUCCAUUGGGCCCUAUGUGACGCGGUUGGCUCGGCACUUCGGGCUCCUCAACACGGCAGCCCAAUUAUCCUCCCUCACUCUCAUGGGCCAAAGUAUGAGGAUGAUCGAGAAACGACAUGGCACCUUCCCUCCUUAGUACCGUCUCGCCCAGUCCACCGAGGAAGAGGCCCUCAAGGACAUUAUUAAUGAUGUCCCUUUGCGUCACGAGGACCCACCGUCUCAGCCACCACCUCCUUCUCGUCCAGUUUAUGCGGUGGAUUCAUACGUUGACAUCUCUGAAUGCCUAACUCGAUUCGAGUAGUAGUGUUUUCAGCGCUUCGAUAACAUUGAUGCUACUCUACAACAGAUUCGUCAGCACUUCCACAUCUCAUCACUACCCCCACCUCGCGAACCAUCUAGCGAUGAAGAUGUUUAAAAACUUUUAUUUACUAUUUAUUUUUAUGUUUUAACUUUUAUUUUAAGACUACUUUUUAUUUUUCUUUCACUUUAUUUUUAUUAGGUUUUAUAAUUAUUAUUUUACAAUAUUUAAUUUCGUCUAAGUCAUUAUGAGUACUUAGUCUUCCCGAUAUAUUUCCUAAAAGAGUUUCUGAUUCUAUCACAGUUAUAACGAGCUCCAAAGCUCACUAUUACUCAGGAACUUGAAACUCCACUGGGAAAGGUUCUCCACGACUGCCAUGUCCUGCUCGACCACGACCAUAUCCAACUUGAGCUAUAAUAUUCUUUUGGCGUAGCAUUUGUGGAACCCAACCUCUACCACCACCGGAGUAUCCUCUACUCUCAUGCCGAUUAUUCUCCAAAACUCUAGUUCAAAGGAAUUCAUUCAUCAUUCAAGAAGUUUCACUUCUUUCCCUAUCUUAUGAUUAUAAAUCUAUCUUUUUCAAUAUAUCUACUUUUGUACAUUGAGGGUAAUGUACAUCUUAAGUGUGGGGGUUUUUUAUAUCAGAAAAAUCCCUGAAUUUUGUUUUAUUCUUAUGCGAUCUUCUCAUAUUAUUAUUAGAAUAAAUUCUAAUUAGUCUAUAAUGUUUAUUGAUAUAUCUUAAAUUAAAGCAUAGGCAUUUAUGCAUUGAUUGUUUAAACUUUAAGGCAUUAGGGAAUCAAGCCUGAUAAGUUGAUUUUUGAAGAAUUAAAAACUUUUAGGUUGUUUCCCCAAGUUUAGGUAUUAUUUUGAGUUGGAAUUCACAAGUUUAACAAUAAAAAACUAUAAUUUUUGUGAGAUCUUGAGCCUUUAGAGCAUCUAUUAUUUUUUUCAUGCUCACUUUCAUUAUGAGUGCGUCAGUAUUGAGUUGUUAUUCUGGAACUUUCUUGAUUAUGCAUGUCAAGACCACACCAUUUGAUUUGAUAUGUCAAAAUGAUAAAGGCAGUUAGGUUUAACCCACUCACUCCAUAAAAGCCUACCUUCACAAUUAACCCUUAGUGAACCCCCUUGAGCCUAACAACCCAUUCAUUGAUUUACCUGCAAUAUUAACCCAUAACUCAUUAUUGUUGAAAUCCCCUAAAUUAAUUUUAUCCCUAUUUUUGUCGAGAUUUGAGUUGGAAUAGUUGCUUAGCUAUGUUUUAUUUUAUUUUGUAAUUUGACUUGUUCUUAAAAAUAUAUAUAUACAUGUAUACAUAUUAGUAGUAGUGAUCUUCUGAGCUAAAGAAGUUAAAUUCCAUAUUCUGAGAAAAAGCACUGUUGUACGCAAUUGAUGACUAGUCAUUUUUCUAGUGAGGUAAUUUUUCAAUUCAAUCUCGAUUCUAACCCUUUCUUUUAGCUUGUGACCACACCCCCUAACCAAAGCCACGUUACAACCCUCUAAAGACCUUUUGAUUGAUGUUUCAUCUCAAUUUAUAGUGGUGAAGAUUUGAUUUUCAUGCAAGCCUAUGGUAAUGACAUUUUAUUAUUGACUAUUGAGUGCUUCAUUUAUUGUCCUUAAACACCUCGAGUGAUUUGAGUGAAUCUUUAGUGAGGAUGUGAAACUCUGUGAUAUUUUGAAUCAAAGGUAAUUACUUAGAUGAGGGGAGACAGUUAUGUUUUCAUGAUAAAAUGAUCAACUUGGAAUGUUUGAAACUUUGAUGUUUUUUCAGUUGAAUUUUCAAUGUAUGAUUACCUAUGGAUUAUUUUAAGAUAUUAUCGAUAGAAAUUAUAAGUUGAGGAGAAUUUAUUUUGAUUAUGAGUUGAGGAUUUUGCUUGAGGACAAGUAAAUGCUUAAGUGUGGGGGUAUUUGAUAAACCGUAAUUUAUACAUAUUUCUAGCCCAUGCUUAGCACAUUUUAUGGAUGAUUUUUCCUUAAAUUAGUGAAUUCGAUACUCCUAAUGCCUUAAUUUCAUGUUUUAUACUUAGGUGAGCAUAGGAGAGUGAAAGGAACGAGAAAUAGGCCAAAAAACAGAGAAAAUAGGCAUAAGUAUAAAUUUAUACAAAGCCAAAUCCUUAUCAUACAAAAUCUCAUAAGCUUACAAAAUAGUAUAAAUUUAGUAUUUAGGGCAACAGAGAUAAAAGAAAAUUUUCAAACAAAUCAUGGUAGAAAGAAUUAGAAAAUACAACAUCGAAACUCGUUUUUUUACAGUCUUGAAAUAAGCUACAGAGAGCGAAAUUUACCUAUGGUUGCGGCAGCGGAGAGCGAGGCGACGCAGGAGUGAGGAUAGCGAAUGGCGAUGAGUAGGUGGUUGGGUCACCUCAGCAAGUUCGGAUGCCUAGGGAUUUGGGGAAAAAUUUAGGGAUUAGGGGAAAUAGGUAAAUUGGGAAAAUUUUGAGGAAAGGGAUUAGGGAUUAGGGGAAAUGGGUGAUUGGGGAUUAGGGGAAAUGGGUGAAAUGGCUAAGUGUCGGGUAUGAGGAGAGGGUAAAAUGUAAGAGAAGAAAACGACGUCGUUUCAGUAAAAAAAAUUUAAAUGUUUGUGGCGUUUUUAAAAGCGCCGCUAAAGCCAAUCCAUUGCGGCGUUUAAAAUAUAACGCCACUAAUCCUCUUCUAGCUCUAACUAAAACGACAACGUUUUGGUUAAACUAUUAUUCUUUUGCGGCGUUUUUGAAAAACGCCGGUAAUGCCCUAUCGAAACGUCAUUGUUUUAGUAAAAGGAAAAUGCUUUUUGUGGCAUUUUUUUUCAAAAACGCCACUAAUCUUCAUUUUAUAUUUCAUUUUUAUUUGUUAUCAAUGUUUUUAUUUAUUUAUCAAUUUUUUUAAAUCUAAUAUUUAAAUAUAUCAAAUUGAAAAUAUUUAAAUCUAAUAUUUUUGAAAAUAUAGCAUUAGUUGAUUGUAUAAAAUUUCAUCAUUUAACAAAUCUCAAGUAAACCUUAAGUCCUAAACCAUUUAAUAUAUAUAAAGUUUAUCUAUUAUCUCUUAAAUAAUUUAAACUAUUAUCAUAAUUUUAAGAUGUUAAAAUUAAUAUUAUCUCUUUUACAAUUAUAUAAGAAAUUAUUUAAUAUAUAAAUUAAAAAAUACUAAUUAAUCUAAACCCUAAAACCCUAAACCCUAAAAAAUAAACCCAUAACCCUUAAACCCUAAACCUUAAAUCCCAACCCUUAAACCAUAAUCCCUAAACUCAUAAUCCAUAAACCCUUAAAAUAAUAACUUAUAAACCUUAAACCCUUAACCAUAUACCAUAAACCGUAAACCCUAAACUAUAAAGAUAAUUAAUUCAAUAUUUUAAAAUUAACAUUAUCUCUUUUACAAUUAUAUAAGAAAUUAUUUAAUAUGUAAAUUAAAAAAUACUAAUUAACCUAAACCCUAAACCUUUAAUCCCUAAUCCCAUAAUCCCUAAUCUAUAAUCUUUAAACCCUAAAUCUUAAAACAUAAACCAUAUUAACCCUAAACCCCUAACUCUUGACCCCUGACUCCUAAACCUUAAACCCCAACACUUAAACCACAAUCCUUAAAUCCCGUAAUCUGUAAACCUUAAAAUAGUAACUCAUAAACCUCAAACCCUUAACCAUAUACCCUAAACCGUAAACCCUAAACUAUAAUGAUAAUUAAUUCAAUAUUUUAAAAAUAAUACUAUCUAUUUUACAAUUAUAUAAGAAAAUAUUUAACAUAUAAAUUAAAAACAAUUAGUCAUAUACCAAAAAUCUUUAAAAUUAUUUUAAAUAAUAGUAUUUUAAUUUUUUUUCAUUUAUAACAAAUAUUUUUCUAUGUUUUUACUUUCAAAAUUUUUCUACGUGUCAUUAUUUUUUCCGAAGAAUUUAAAUAUUCAAUUAAAAAUAAAUUGUAUUUUAAUAUAAUUAAACUAGUUAAAUUAUAAUUAAACAGAUGAAAUAUUUUUGGCGGCAUUUUUUGAACGCCGCUAAUACUCGUUUUAUAGCGGCGUUUUUAAAAAAGCGCCACUAAAGCCACUAAAUAGCUCAAUAUAAGACGACGCCGUUUUUCAAAAAUUUUUGCGGCGCUAAAGAUCAAUAUUAGCGGUGUUUAUUAAAAAGCGCCGCUAAAGCUAUUAAAAGUUCAAUAUAGGACGACGACAUUUUGCAGAAAAACGCCGCUAAAGGUGUACCUAUAGCGACGCUUUCCAAUUAACGCCGCUAAUACUCAAUCUAUAGCGGCGUUUUUCAUACAAACGCCGCUAAUAUCACUGAAGCUCAGUUAAAACGACGGCGUUGAGAGUAAGUUUUGCGGCGUUUGUUUACCUAUCGCCGCUAAAAGUUCACCUUUAGCGGCGUUUUAUAAAAAACGCCGCUAAUUCUUGAUCGUUAGCGGCGUUUUCAAAAUGCUGAUAAUGCUCGAUCUUUAGUGGCGUUUUUCAUUAAAAUGCCGCUAAAAACCUAUUUUGCUGUACUGUGCAUGCAAUCCUAGAAAUAGGACGACAUAAAUCUACUGGAUUAGAGUCAAAUAUAAUAGGAGAAUCCAUAAAUUGAGUUAAUGCGACGAUAUGGGUUUUAAUUAGAAAGAGAUUUCAAUUAAUCAACCUGGAGUUAGUUUUUCCUCGAAAAAGAUAUUAACACAAUUUAGGGAUUUCUACAGAUCAAGACACAAGUAAAUAAAUCGUUUAAUUUAGAUUCUUAAUAAAAGUUGAAGUAUAGGUAGAUUCUUUCUUGGGUGUUGUCUAUCUCAUUGGUUAAUAUUAGAUUACUUCAUUGAUUCAUUCUUUGUUGCAUUCAUAGUUAAAUUAGUUUAGUAAAUUUAGAUUAAAACACAUCUCUCCAAAUUAUAGGCUAAAUAAUAGAAAAAUGGUAAUUUAUAGUACUUUUAAUCCUCGUGGAUACUAUAUUCCCUACUCACCAUAGCUAUACUAUUGUUCGAUAGGUGCGCUUGCCUUUGUCUUAUUUAUAGUUAGUUUAGUGACCAUCACUUAUUACAAGUUGUCUCGUUAAAACCUUUACCAGGAAAGCUCAGUGGGACAAAACCUUACCCAAAGGAAAAGAGUGCAAUGUGUUUUUGACUCUCCCUAAUGGCAAUAUCAAAUUACAUCUUUCAGUUGUCGCAUUCCAAUCUAGUGUAGUAGUUUUUCAAAUGUUGAAGUUGGCAAUGUCUUGGUAAAAAGAUUUGCUAAAUUAUCAUUAGAAGGAAUUUGUUGAACUUCUAUGUCAUCUUUCUUCUCAAGAUCAUGAGUGAAGAAUAAAUUUGGUUAAAUAUGUUUUGUUCUGUCACCUUUGAUGUAACCACCCUUCAAUUGAGAUAUACAUCAUAUAAGAUACUUGACAUCAUUUCUUGUAAAGACAAAUUACAUAUCUUCUGGAUAUGUUGGGUUAAUAACCUUAACCAAACACACUCUCGGCUUACCUCGUGCAUUGCAAUUAUUUCAGCAUGAUUUGAAGAGGCAACAACUAAUGUCUAAUUUGUUGAACGUCAUGAUACGACAGUACCUUCAUAUGUAAAUAAAUAUCCCGUUUGAGAUCGACCUUUAUGUUGAUCUGAUAAAUAUCCAACAUCAGCAUCAACAUAUCCAACUAAUAGGGAUUUUGAAUAAUUUGAAUAAAAUAACCCCAUAUUAGUGGUUCCUCUGAGAUAUCUAAAUACAUGUUUAAUUUCAUUUCAAUGUUUACGUGUUGGAGAAGAACUAAAUUUUGCUAAUAAGUUUACAGCGAAAGCUAUAUCAGGUCGUAUGUUGUUUGCAAGAUAAAUCAAUUCCUCUAUGGCACUUAGAUUUGGUACUUCAGGACCAAGAAACUCUUCAUCAUUCUUGCAAGGACGAAAUUGAUCUUUAUUCACAUCUAACGAUCUUACAACCAUUGGAGUACUCAAUAGAUGUGCUUUAUCCAUGUAAAAUUUCUUUAAGAUCUUUUCUGUAUAAGUUGAGUGAUGGAUAUGAAUUCCAUCUUUUAAAUGCUCAAUCUGCAGACCAAAACAAAACUUUGUAUUUCCCAAAUCUUUCAUCUCAAAUUCUUUUUUUAAAUAAUUUACUGCAUUUUGAAACUCUUCAAAAGUUUUAAUAAUAUUUAGAUCAUCAACAUAAAUAGAAAUUAUCACAAAGUCUGGUCCAGACCUUUUUAUAAAAACACAUGAACAAAUUGGAUCGUUUUUAUAACAUUUUUUUAACAAAUAUUUACUAAGAUUGUUGUACCAUAUAUGUCCAAAUUGUUUUAAUCCAUAUAAACUUUUUUUUAAAUCUGAUUGAGCAAUUUUCCCGAGAAACUCUAUAUCCUUCAAGGAUUUUAAAUCCUUUUGGGAUUUUCAUAUAAAUUUCACUAUCAAAUGUACCAUACAAAUAGGCUGUAACAACAUCCAUUAGACGUAUGCCAAGUUUUUCACGUACUGCCAAACUAAUAAGGUAUCUAAACAUGAUUGCAUCCACCACAUGAGAAUAUGUCUCUUCGUAAUCAAUGCCAGGCCUUUGUGAAAAUCCUUGUGCUACAAGUCGUGCUUUAUAUAUUACAACUUCAUUUUUCUCAUUUUUUUUUCGCAAAAAUAUCCAUUUAUUUCCUACCGACUUUAUAUAUUUAGGUGUUUGGACUAUAGAUCCAAAAACCUCACGUUUAGACAGUGAAUUUAAUUCUGCUUGAAUUGUGUCUUUCCAUUUUGGCUAAUCUUUUUUAUUUCUACAUUCCUUAAUAGAUUUAGGCUCAGGAUCCUUAUUUCCUUUUGCUAUUUCAAUAGCAACAUUAUAAGCAAAAUUGUUGUCGACAACUAUAUUUUUUCUGUUCCAUCUUUUUCCUAAAGUAGCAUAACUUAUUGAGAUCUCUUCGUUAUCACCAUUUUUAGGUACCUGAACCUCUUUUGGGUUUUUUUUCUAUUAGUUAUAUCUUUGGCCUCUUCUUGAGCAGUUUCUUCCACAAUAUGACCAUCUUGAAUAUUUUCUCAUUUCCUUUUACGAGGAUUUUUAUCUUUGGAACUAAUUGGCCUUCCACGUUUCAGGCAUGGAUUACUUUCUUUUGCACUAACAGUUUGCCCUAUUAGGAUAUCAAUUUGUAUUGGAGCAUUUUCAGUUGGUAUGUGAGAUUUUGAAAUUCUCUUUAGGUCAGUAAAUGAAUCUGGUAGUUGAUUGGCGAUGUUUUGCAAUUGUAUGAUCCUUUGAACUUCUUGUUCACAUUGACUUGUGCGAGGUUCUAAUUGAGAUAAUGAUGAUCCAUUCCAUGCAAUUUCUUUUACCAGUUGUAUUUUCUCUCCACUAAUGUUGAGAAUUUUGUUUCAUUAAAAUGACAAUUGAUAAAUUGUGUAGUAAAUAAAUAUCCAGUUAAUGGUUCAACAUACUUAAUUAUAGAAGGAGAUUCAUAACCAACAUAUAUCCCCAACCUCCUAUGAGGACCCCUCUUUGUGCAUUGUGGUGGAGCAAUUAGAACAUAUAUUGCAUAUCCUAAUAUGGGAAACAUUUGGCUCCUAACCAAAAGCCAAUUGUAAUAGGGAGUAUGUAUUAUAACUUGUUGGCCUAAAGCACACAAGUUUUGCUACAUGCAAAAUAGCAUAUCCUCAAGCUGUAAUAGGAAGUUUUGUUCUCAUAAGCAAUGGUCGAGCUAUUAAUUGGAGUCGUUUGAUAAAUGAUUCAACUAAACCAUUUUGUGUGUGAAAAUGAGCUACAAGAUGUCCAGUUUUUAUCCCAAUUGGCAUACAAUAAUUAUUAAAAGCUUGGGAUGUAAACUGACCAGCAUUAUCAAGAUGAAUAGUCUCGUAAACGCUAGGUUGUGAGUCAAUAAUAAACACAUAUGUGACCACCUACUAGAUGCAUCUAUUAAUACCAUAAAAUAUCUGAAUAGUCCACAUGGUGGAUGAAUGGACCCACAUAGAUCAUAUUGAAUACGUUCUAGAAAUAUGUGAGAUUUAAUCCUAACUUUAACUGGUGAUGGUCUAAUAAUCAAUUUUCCUUGAGAGCAAGCAACACAAGAUAAAUCCUUGAAUUCAAGAAUCUUUUGGUUCUUUAAUGGGUGUUUAAUUGAAUUCUCGAUGAUUCUUCGCAUCAUAAUAGAUUUGGGAUGGCUUAAUUGGUCACGCCAAAUAGUAAAAGUAUGUGGUGCUACAAACUUCUGGUUUGUAGUAACACGUGUCUUAAUUGCACUAACAUGCGUAUAAUAUAAACCUGAUAAAAAAGCAAGUAGCAUUUCUAACAUAUUUCUUUCCAUAUUCAACAUUUGUAAUAUAUAGAUAUUCAUAUUUUUCCCAUUCAUAGUCUCAAUAUGAUAACCAUUAAGACGAAUAUCUUUAAAACUUAAUAAAUUUAUUUGAGAAUUAGUGGAAUAUAAAGCAUCAGCAAUGAAAAAUUUUGUACAUUUAGGUAAUAAUAUAAUAGCUCUUCUAGAGCCUUCAAUAAGUUUUGAACUACCCAAUAUUGUAUUAACAUGGGUAUCACUUAUUAUCAAAUAAGAAAAAAUAUUUUUUUUAUCUUUGAGUAUCGUAUGUGUUAUAGCAAUAUUUACAAGAUACAUGUCUCCGUUGAUUUUGGGUCCAACGAAAUUUUGUUAAAUAUUUAUAUUCUUCAUAACAAUAAACAAAAUAUAAUAUGAGAAAUAUUACAAAUAUUUAUUAAAUAUAUAAAUUAUUCUUUAUGCAAAAAAGAGAGAGACAUAUUUAAAAUAACAUAAAAAUGUCAAAAUAACAUCAACUUUUCUAAUGAUUCUAAAAAAAAUCUACCACAUCUAGGUGAGUUAUAUUAUUAAGGUCAUAUUCUUACAAAUUCUGAUAUCCAAUAUAUAAUUGGAAAUGUUAAAGUCAAAUUUUUUUUUUCAGUUUUGAAUAUCCAACAAAUAGUGAUAUUGAAUUUGGAUGAUAAUACUCACAUAAUUUGUAAAUAAAUUUUAAAAAAUUCACGAAUUUUAGUAAUUUAAAAAAAAAGAAGCAAAUAUUUGAUUUGCUAUCAUUCUAGUUACACUAUUUACUUUCUAUUUUGAACUUUAAAAUUUGUAUUAUUUGUCCAAAGAAUUAGCUAGAUAGACCAUUUAUAUUAUUAUAUAUUUAAAUUUCUGAUUAUGUUGAUAUCAUGAGUUAAUUGAACAUCAAUUUAGUUAGGGAAAUUUUGAAAAUAUCUUUUCGUACUUAAAAUAAAUAAUAUUAUUCUAGGUAUUUUAGUCUUUUUAUUUUUUAAAAAUAAUAAAUAAUUUGUAUAUGGUGGGAUUUGAACCAUAAGUUAAUAAAAUUUUAAUUUACCACUUAAUCAAUAUUUUAUCAUAAAAUAUUUUAUAUAUUUUAAUUUUAUUAUGCAUACUUUAUUAUCUCUAUAAAUUAUAUAGUUGUACUUAUAGUAUUAAUGUAAUAGCCUGAAUUUUCAGAGGUGUCGGAAUAGUGAUUCGAGAUCACUAAAUCUGACAAAUGAGUAGAAAAUAUUAAUAAUUUAGUGAAUAUAAGUUAAGUGUGAAGUCAGGAAAAUUUUUGAAAUAGCGAAUAGUGUACUAGAAAUAAAUAAAAAAAUUAAAUUAGAAUCGGAAAUGAGAUAUCGAGAGUUUGAAAAUUUUUAAAACGAGCCAUAAAUAUUUUUAUAAAUAUUUAUGGAGUGUUAAUAAGUUAGUAUUAAAGUUUCGUCAAGAAAUUUUAAAGUUUCGAUAGUUAAUUGAAUAAAAAGGAUUAAAUUGUAACAAAUGUAAAAUUAUGGGAAAUGAUUAAAUAGCUUAAAUGAUAAAAGAGAGAGGGUUUAAAAGGCAAAUAGACCCCAGGUCUAUUUGGGCUGGACAGCAAGGUGCAUGAAAUCAGCAGGAAAAUUGAUGAAUUAAGGGCAAAAUUGGAAUAUUGCAAAAUUUACUUAAUAAACUAGGACUAAAGUGGAAUUAUCUAGAAUUCUCAUUAUUUUUCUGCAUUAUCAUCAGUAAAAACACCAUAGAAGGGUUUUCUUAAGCUGGUUUUUCAUAUUUUUACUGCAAAUAGAGAACCCGAAGCAAGUCGAGGAAAAGAAAAAGUAGCUGAUUAGUCCCUGAAUUUUCACAAAUUUUACAAAUUGACCCAGGUAAGUUCAUAUGGUUGAAGCUUAAUGAUUAUAUGUUAAUUUUAUGAAUUAUAUAAUGUAUGAUGAAAUAUAUUUAUUGAUGAAUAGAAAAUAAAAUAACAACCCGAAAAUCGAAUAAAUGAUCAAAUUGAGUGGAAUGUCGGAUUUGAGUACUUCUGAUCAGUGACAAGUGAUAAGUGGUAGCCUCAGCUACACUUAUCUGAUCAGUGAUAAGUGAAAAAUGAUAAGUGGUAGCUUAGCUACUCUUAUCUGAUCAGUGACAAGUGAUAAGUGAUAAGUGGUAGCCUCAGCUACACUUAUCUGAUCAGUGAUAAGUGACAAAUGAUAAGUGGUAGCUUAGCUACUCUUAUCUGAUCAGUGGCAAGUGAUAAGUGAUAAGUGGUAACUUUAGCUACACUUAUCUGAUCAGUGACAAGUGAUAAAUGUGAUCAGUGUAAGACCGUGGCAGGACUAUGAUUUUAAAAAGUGCAUGAUAAGUGAUCAUAUGCAAGACCAUAUUUAUACUAUGGCAAAGUGAAAGUGAAGUACUCAAUUUUCCGUUACCAUUCCCUAAUUUGGUUAAAGAAUGAUAUAUGACAAAUGGGCCCAAAAGAAUUAAUGGAGAUGGAUAAGUGGUAGUGAGUUUAUACAGGGAACUCACCAAUGACUGUGAUUGACAGGUGAACUUAAUAAUUGUGUAUAUAGUAUAAGUGUAUAAAUAUUUGGUAAAAUUUAUGUUUUAUCCCUAUGAACUUACUAAGCUUUUAUAAGCUUACUUGAGUGUAUUCAAUGUCUCUUGUAGAUUGACGUGAAAGUAUACGGAGGAUCGGAUCAACACAGAGGAUCACACUAUCCAGAUUAUCUCAGGUAGCUUUUGUAAAUUUCCUUUUUGAUUUAUAUGGCAUGUAUAAGGCUUGGUGAUUAUAUAAAUAUUAAGACUUGUUUAAUGAAUAUACAUUAAAGUAAAGAAUGAUGAGUAUGUUAAAUAGUAUAAUUAUAAUAGAAGUAUAAUUUUGUAUUAAAUUGAUUGAAAUGAAUUGGUUGGUUAGAUUGGUCUCGAUUUUAAAAAUUGCAGGGAAGGUUAGAUAUUUAUAAAGGGGUUAUAUUGAGCAAAAAAAAAAAUUCUUAUGGUUUCGAUUUAAUUCUAGUUUGGUCUCGAAGUAUGUUUUGGGCUUUGGAGGCCCAUCUAAAGGACACCAUGACAUGUUUUAGUAAAUAAAUAGUAUUUAACUCGUAUCAAUGGAAAAUCAAUUCGGUAAACUCCGGUAAUGCCUCCUACCCUAUUCCGGCGAUGAAUAUGGGUAAGGGGUGUUAAAAUUAAUGUUUAAACCCUUAACAAAAUUGAUAGGAGUCAACCGAGUGCCAAUUCGAUUAGAAAAAUUACAAAAAUACUCUUAUUUAUUUAAAAUAAUUUCUAUUAUUUUAGGGUGUUUUAGUCAUUUUCAUAUUUUAAAAAAACCCAAAAAUAAUUUACACCCAUGCCUUUGGUUGAUAAACUUUAACUUUACCACUCAACCAAUGCUUUAUCAUAAAACAAUUAUAUAUUUAAAUCUAAUUUUUAUUUUAAUAUCGUACAUAUUGUACGUGUUAUUAUUAAUUAGUUUUAAAUCAUACAUUUUAUUAUUUAUUUUAUGUUAUUUUUAAAUACACUCAUAUUUUAAAUAUAUAAUUUUUACACCAUAAACAUGUGAUAAAAUUUCUAGUAUAGAUAAAUUGAUUGACUUGAAGGUUUCAUUUUCUAGUAUAGAUAAAAUUAGAGGUUGGGAUGCAAACAUUUGCUAAUAUUUUGGUGUCACUUAUGAACUACUGUGCAAAUCGUAUAAUUUGAUGCUAGGAGCAAAGCAUAGCAGUGGUAACAUGGCAACAUGCUAAUCUCUACCUCACAAUCACAAACGUCUGAAGUUAUUCAUGAAAUUCUUCUGUCUUGGCCAGCUCAAAUCGCAAAUGUUAAAUGGAUUUAUGGAACAACUUUAAUAAUUAAUCUUACGUUAUAAAACAACCAAGUUUCCCUCUUCAAACACUAUAAAAUCCCCUCUCUUCACUCCAAAUUCUCCAUCCUCAAGCUAUACAACUCUUUCAUUUUUACAUUAGGCAAGAAGCUCCUAGGGUUUGAGAGAGAUGGCUUCGAAAAGAUCAGCAUCACUUGCCCUCUUUUUUACACUCAACAUUCUCUUCUUUUCUCUUGUCAGUGCUUGUGCUUCUUGCCCUUCCUUAAAACCAAAACCAAAGCCCACACCGUUCCCAUCUCCUUCUACAAAAGGCAAAUGACCUAGAGAUGCCCUUAAAUUAGGUGUAUGUGCAAAUGUGCUUGGUUUAGUCAAUGUCACUAUUGGUUCACCCCCAGUGCAGCGGUGUUGCUCCCUUCUCCAAGGCUAUUGAAGUUGGCAUGCAUGCAGUAGAUAAAGCAACCAAGGAGCAGACCAUGCAACAUAAGUUAUGCGGAUGAAGUAUGAAGAAGCAGAUCAAGCUGCACUUACAGCACACAAAGUACAUACAGUCCAAGUUAUGUGGAUGAAAUACAUACAGCUACUGAAGUUGAUGCUACUGUUCAAUUUCAGUUUCAUUUUGUUACCUUAAGUAAUAUUUUGUAACUCAGUUAAAUUAGAACUAAGUAGGUAGUAUAUUUAAUUGGGUAUUGAUAAGAUUGAUAGAUCAGCUUACCUAAUUGUGCAAGUUGAUCUGCAAAUUGCAAUAUGCAAGCGGUGUAAGUAAGUCUAAAAAUAGUAAAAAUGUUAAGCUGACCAACUUAUGACUGGUAUAUGUAUUGGCAUUAUGUAAUCAAUGAAUUUUAAUAGAAAUCAUUCAAGAAAAAUACUCUCUCAAUUUUUUGUUUUCUUUCACCACGUAAAAUUCUGUUUGUUUAUCCUGCAAAUAUCGAGCCUUUUGAAGCUCAAUCUUCAUUCAUUCUUCAUCCGGAUUUAUUACGUUGUUACUCAAGUUUUACACUGAGCUUCAUACUUCCUCCGGGUAAAUUAUUAAAAAACCCAACAAUUGGUAUCUAGAGGCAAAUUCUUAGUGGACCUAUCAUAUUUCAAUCCUUAAAACUAUGUCUUCCUCAGGAUUCUCACCAGUGCCACCACUAGUCUUCAAUGGAGAGGGCUACCACAUUUGGGUAGUGAAAAUGAAGACCUACUUGCAGGCAUUCGAUUUGUGGGAAGUUAUCAACUCAGAAGCUGAACCAGUACCUCUAAGAGCUAACCCAACAGUGGCUCAGAUCAGAUAACAUUCAGAUGAAAGAACCAAAAGGUACAAAGCCAUAUCUUGCAUCCAAAAUAGUGUGUCUAAUGUGAUUUUCACAAGAAUCAUGGCUUGUAAGUCACCAAAGCAAGCCUUGGAUAAGCUAAAAGAGGAGUUCCAAGGGACUGAAAGAACAAGACAGCAAUAGCUACUAGAUUUAAGAAGGGACUUUGAAAACUUGAAGAUGAAGGAAAAAGAAACAGUAAAGCAAUACUCAGACAGAAUCAUGACUGUAGUAAACAGCAUAAGGCUACUUGGAGAACAAUUUAGUGAAGCAAGAAUUGUGGAGAAGGUGAUCUCAACCUUACCUAAAAGGUAUAAGACUCGAGGGACCUGACCAGGAUUUCAUUGACAGAGCUGAUCAAUGCUCUUUAUGCUCAAGAGCAAAGGAGAGCAAGUAGAUUGGAGGAGCAUCAAGAAGGUGCCUUCCAAGCCAAAACCAAACCAGCCUCAAACUCCUCUAGAUACAAUGGGAAGAAAACCUGGAAAGAUAAGCCUAGAACAGAUGGUGCAAGAAAAUAUCCAUCUUACCCACACUGCAAAAGGCUAAGUCAUCUGGGUGAAGUAUGUUGGUUUAGGCCUGAUAUGCAGUGCAAAAUCUACAAAAAGAUGGGCCAUACAGAAAAAGUUUGCAAAAACAAAGGCAAACAAAGGUCAAAUCAACCUCAACAGCCAAGAGUUGAAGCUCAAGUGGCAGAAGAAGAAAGUGAUCAAGAAGAAUGAGUCUUUGCUGUCUCUUUGCUCAUCUACCAAAAGAAAAGCCACAAAAGGUUGGUUGAUUGACAGUGGAUGUACUAACCACAUGACUCUGGAUGCUGCUAUCUUCAAGACAAUUGACAGAAGCUUCAAAACAAGGGUGAAUGUUGGAAAUAAACACUUCAUCAAAGUAGAAGGCAAAGGAGGUGUGCUGAUUGACACUCCUACAGGUACCAAACUUGUUUCAAAUGUACUUUUGGUGCCUGAAAUAGAUAGAAACCUACUCAGUAUAGCUCAGUUGCUAGAAAAAGGGCUACUCUGUGGUGUUCAAAGGUAAGGAGUGCCUAAUCAGUGAUCCAAAUGGAUUCAAGCUCAUGAAAGUGACCAUGGCUGACAAGAGCUUUGUGGUGGACUGGAACAAGGGCGCAGACAGUGCUUACACAGCUGCUUAGGAUGAAUCCAAGUUGUGGCACUUGGCCAUGUCAACUACAACUCAAUGGCUCAGCUAACCAAAGAAGAUUUGGUUGAAAACUUCACUAACUCAAUUGAAAAGGAAGAAGUUUGUGAAGUAUGUCAGCUAGGAAAACAAGCUAGACUACCAUUUCCUACAAACAAAGCUUGGAGAGCUUUUGAAAGACUGCAACUUGUACAUACUGAUGUGUGUGGUCCAAUCAAGACUCAAUCACUGAAUGGAAGUAGGUAUUUCAUCUUAUUCAUUGAUGAUUACUCGAGAUAUUGCUGGAUUUAUUUUUUGAAACAAAAAUCAGAAGUGGCUUCAGUAUUUUUGAAGUUUGAAGUUGCAGCAGAGACUAAAACAGGUUGCAAGUUGAAGACAUUGAGGUCUGAUAAUGGGACUGGGUAUACUUCAUUCGGGUUACAUACUUUUUGUGAUGAAGCAGGCAUCAAACACCAGCUCACCAACACUUAUACACCUUAAAAAAAUGGUGUAAGUGAAAGAAAGAACAGAAGCUUGAUAGAUAUGGCUAGGUGCCUAAUGUUUGAAAGAAAUUUGCCUAAGACAUUUUGGGCAAAAGCAGUCAACACUGUAGUUUACCUUCAAAACAGGCUCCCAACCAUGGCUUUGGCUCAGAAAACUCCAUUCGAGGCCUGGUUCAGGUUCAAACCAUCACUGGCUUACUUAAGAGUUUUUGGAUGUGUAUGUUAUGCUCAUGUUCCAGCAGCAAAAAGAGACAAGAUUGCUAAGAAAGCUCAACCUGGUAUUCUGGUAGGCUACAGCAGUAUCAAGAAGGGUUGUAAGAUACUUGAUCCUUCAACAAACAAGGUCUUUGUGAGCAGAGAUGUUGUAUUCGAUAAGAAGGCAAGCUGGAACUGGGAUAAAAAUGAACCAGAAACUGUUGCUGAAGAUUUGGUGACAGAUCAGACUGAAGCUAAUCAAAAUGGUUCUAAAAUAGACAUUGGUGAUGAACCAAUCAGAGGCACUAGCUCAUUGGUUGAGAUUUAUGAAAGAGCUCAUAUGGCUGUUAUUGAACCAAGCUGCUUUGAAGAAGCUGAAGCUCAUUAAGGCUGGCAACAAGCAAUGGCUGAUAAAAUCAGUAUGAUUGAGAAGAAUCAGACCUGACAGCUAGUUGAAAAACCACUCAAUAGAAAAGCCAUUAGAGUGAAGUGGGUGUUUAGAGCCAAGCACAAUGCUGAUGGAAGCUUGAACAAACUGAAAGCAAGGCUGGUUGUAAAAGGGUUCAGCCAAAAGUAUGGCAUUGACUACUUUGAAACCUUUGCACCAGUGGCUAGGCUUGACACCAUAAGGCUGCUAGUUGCCUUAGCAACACAAAUGCAAUGGAAAAUCCAUCAGCUUGAUGUGAAGUCAGCCUUCCUCAAUGGAUUCAUUGAAGAAGAGAUAUAUGUUGAGCAGCCUGAAGGCUUCAAAAUUGUUGGUGAAGAAGACAAUGUGUACAAACUAAAGAAAGCCUUGUAUGGCUUGAAACAGGCUCCAAGAGCAUGGUAUAGCAGGAUCGAUGGCUAUCUAGCUAACCUUGGAUUUGAAAGAAGCAUCAGUGAACCUACUUUGAAUAUGAAAAAGCAAGGUAGUGAAACUCAACUAAUAGUGUCUCUAUAUGUUGAUGAUUUGUUAGUAACAGGAGGAGACCAAGCAAUGUUGACAGACUUCAAGUACAAAAUGCAACAAGUGUUUGAGAUGUCUGAUUUGGGACAAAUGUCUUACUUUAUUGGCAUGGAAGUAUCCCAAGCUCAGCAAGGGAUCUUCCUAAGUUAGAAGGCUUUUGCCUUAAAAAUUCUAAACAAAUUCUCCAUGUUGAACUGCAAAGCAACAAGUACACCAGUUGCCACUGGAGAGAAACUAUCAAGCCAAGGCGAUUUUGAAAAGGUUAGUGAAUCAACCUAUAGAAGUCUAGUUGGAUGUUUGCUCUAUUUUACUGCCACUAGACCAGACAUUAUGUUUGCUGUAAAUUUGCUUUCAAGAUUCAUGCAUUGCUGCAAUGAAAAGCACUUUCAAGCUACCAAAAGAGUUCUCAGGUACAUUAAAGGUACACUGAGAUAAGGAAUGAUGUUCACCAAGGCUGAAAACAUGAAAUUAAUUGGCUAUGCUGAUAGUGAUUGGGCUGGAUCGAUAGAUGAUAUGAAUAGUACCUUAGGGUAUCUAUUCACCCUUGGUUUAGCCAUUUUUUGCUGGAGUUCAAAGAAGCAAACUGUUUUUGCUCAAUCAACUGCUGAAGCAGAGUAUGUGGCAGCUGCAGGAGCUGUCAACCAAGCCAUUUGGCUAAGAAAAAUAAUGGCCGUUUUAAAUCAACACCAAAGGGAAGCAACAGAGAUCAAUUGUGACAACCAAUCUGUUGUUGCAAUUGCAAAAAAUCCAGUGUUCCAUGGGAGAACAAAACACUUCAAGAUCAAAUUUCACUUUGUUAGAGAGACGGAGCAAGCUCAAGAAGUGAAGCUGAUUCAUUGCAGUUCUGAACAACAACUUGCUGAUAUCCUAACAAAUCCCCUUAGUGUGUCAAGAUUUGAAGAUUUAAGAGCCAAAAUGGGAGUUUGCAGCAUGCAAGCCAAAGAGGAGUGUUGAAGUUGGCAUGCAUGCAGCAGAUAAAGCAACAAAUGAGCAGACCAUGCAACAUAAGUUAUGCGGAUGAAGUAUGAAGAAGCAGAUCAAGCUGCACUUACAGCACACAAAGUACAUACAGUCCAAGUUAUGUGGAUAAAGUACAUGCAGCUACUGAAGUUGAUGCUACUGUUCAAUUUCAGUUUCAUUUUGUUACCUUAAGUAAUAUUUUGUAACUCAGUUAAAUUAGAACUAAGUAGGUAGUGUAUUUAAUUGGGUGCUGAUAAGAUUAAUAGAUCAGCUUACCUAAUUGUGCAAGUUGAUCUGCAAAUUGCAACAUGCAAGCAGUGCAAGUAAGUCUAAAAAUAGUAAAAAUGUUAAAGCUGACCAGCUUAUGACUGGUAUAUGUAUUGGCAUUAUGUCAUCUUUUUAAUCAAUGAAUUUCAAUAGAAAUCAUUCAAGAAAAAUACUCUCUCAAUUUUUUGCUUUCUUUCACCAUGUAAAAUUCUGUUUGUUUAUCCUGCAAAUAUCGAGCCUUUUGAAGCUCAAUCUUCCUUCAUUCUUCAUCCGGAUUUAUUACGUAGUUGCUCAAGUUUUACACUGAGCUUCAUACUUCCUCCGGAUAAAUUAUUCAAAAACCCAACAAAGGCCUUGCUGAUAUUGAAGCUGCUGUUUGCCUUUGCACAGCAAUCAAAGCCAACGUUUUAGGCAUCAACCUCAAUGUCCCAGUUUCCCUCAGCUUGCUUCUCAAUGUCUGCUCAAGGAAAGUUCCAUCUGGCUUCCAAUGUCCCUGAUCACUGUUGCAAAUUCUUUCUCUGUUUGGUGUUUUUCAUGGUUUUGAAGGUCUAAUUAAUUUGUUGUUGGCAUUGGUAACUCCUUGUUUCCUUGUGGAUUCAUAUUGAAUAAAUAUUACUAUUUAUUUAUGAAUAAUUAUCUUAAACAUAUGUGAAGAUUUGGAUUGAUACCAUUAAAUUUUAAGAUAUAAUAAAAAUAAUAAUUAAAAAGUAUAUUUGACAUCAUCAUGAACUUGAAGUAGAGUUUUUUUACUUCACUGACAGUAAAUUGAAUAAUUAUCUUUUAUUUAUUUAACUAUUUUUUCUUAGCAAAUAGAUAAUUUAAUUUCUUUUGAAUUUUUCAUUUUUUUGAAGUGAUAUUUCAUUUUUGAAAAUGUUAGACAAUAGCUUACAUGAAAAUGAAGAAGAGUGUUUUAUCCUCUUGUACCAAUUCAUCCACCAUAAUGUGUCUAUCUAAUCCUUAGCUAAAAAAAACCCUCAAAUAAUACUUAGAUUCAAAUUAAUGGAAUUAAUCCAAUAAGCAUCGAGCAUCUAAAGCAAAUAAGGGUAAUGUUGAAGCUUUAAGACCAAUUAGUGAAGAAUCAUCAAACAAACAAUAACAAUUCUAAUAAACUCAAAGAUACGGGUACAAUAGAAAAUAAUACUAGGUUGACUUGAAAGGCUUAAAUAAUUUAAUAAAAAUAAAAAACUUAAACGAUCUAAUUUAACUUUUAUAUUAUUCUUAAAUAAAAAUUUAAUCCUAUUUUAAUUACUAAAUUAUUAACCUACAUAUAAAUGAUUCAACUCAUUGUAAAUUAGCCAACAACAUAAAAGAUGUUAAAACGAAACAUGCCAAUCAGAAAAUUAAAUGAAAAUAAUAAAAUAAUAAAUAAUCUUCAAAAUAGUUGAAAGGUGAAGAUUUGGUAUGGGAGCUAGAAUGACAUACAAGAAUAUUAAAUUUUAGGAUUGUAAUAACAUUGAGGAAAGAAGAGGGGAUGAUAGUAUUUGAACUCGUAUCAUUUAUGUGUUAGAUGAGAGUCUUAACUAAUCGUUACUUAAAGUAAAUUAUACGUAUAACAUAUUUUAUUAAUAAAUAAAAUAUUAUUUUUAUUAAUUUUAAACUAUUAAUUAGUUGCUUUUUUCCUUUAAAUUAUUCUAUCAAAUUUAGACAACAAUAUAUAUUGUUGAUAGCAAUAACUAAUCUGUGGACGUUUUUGUAAUAGAUAGAAAUGUGAAAUGUGAUUUAUUCUUUCAUCGAGCUUUCUUCAAAACUGGCAUGGAAUGAAAAUGGAAAACAAAAGGAUAUGCAAUUUAGUUGAAUGCAAGGUGGGUCAUAGUUUUGCAGGCAGUUUAGACGGAUAUCACAUAAAGUAAAUUUGUUUGUAUUAUAGAAUUGGGUCCAAAUUAAAAAAGAAGGAACAUAAUAAAUUGGAUCCAUUUUGAAGGCUCGAAUGAUUUGUGGGUUGAGAUCUUUCACGGGUUGCUAAUCAUAUACUUAAAAACGAAAUGUUGGUUUGAUAGAAGCUUAAUUAAUAACAAGCUCUCUUAAUAAAGUCGUAUAUUCCCCUCAUAUGAACGAGGGCUGGAUAUUCAAGAUUCUAACAAGUUUUCCUGGAAAUCUCUUAUAUAAGCAUCCAAUUUAAUAACUGAUCCCCAAAAGUAAAAAUUAAAACCAAAUUGUAUGCAGCUCACAAUGUCAAUAUCUGAUCAAACAAUACUUUCUUGGUCAAAUCUUUUCAACUUUCGAUGGUGAAUUUUGUUUGAAAAUGUUUAUAUUUUAUUUUCUUUUUUCAUUUAAAAAAAAUCGAUUUUAUUGAGGAUAUUGAUGCUUGUUUUUAAAUUAUAUUUAAAAAAUUUAGACAUUGAGGAUGGGUGUGACAAAGACAAUUUCAAUGAAAUCAUAAGGAAUAAACUACAAAUUAAGAGAUUGUUUAUUCUGUGUUUGCAAUAAACUUCUCAUAUAUUGAAUCACAUCUGUCAACUGGAAUCAAGCUAAAGAUUGUCUGUCAAGUUUUACAGACAUAUGGUGACAAUAUAUGUUGUCCACCUCUGCCACGUGGGAACCUGCUUUUAGUUUUUCUUUUGAUAAAAAAAAAAAGCCCUGCCUUACCUGGAUCCACUUAGCUUUUAAGUUGAAGAUAAAAUUAAUAUUGACUUCAUUAAGUUUCAGUAAUUUCUGUAGUGGAAAGAAAAAUCUGGUUUCAGUCAAGACAUGACAAUGUAUAUUAUUGUAAAUGGAAUUCUUUUGAGAUGAAAGCACGGAGUCUAUGGUGGAACCCAAUACUCAUCCGUCAUACUUGUGUGAGAAAUUCAUUUUUUCUUCUUCUUUUUCCCAAGUAACAUGAAUUUUUUACAAGUAUAUUUUUGUAAAUAGGAGAUUCACAAGCUUCUCAAAGCUGCUAAUUUUUUUUUUGAAAUAUGACUUUUUCUGAAAAAACAUAAUUUUCUAAAUAUAAAUUAUUCUAAAUAAUGAUUAUUCUAAACAUAAUUAUUCUCAAAACGUUAUUAUUUUAACAAGAGUUGUUUUGAUCUUUAAUUAAACCCUAUUAUGAAUAAAGUUAUUUUGGACAUAACUAUUUUCAAACAACAAUUGUUUUAAACAACAAUUAUUCUAAAUAAGAGUUGUUGUUCUGAAGAAAAUAUUCUUGAUAAUAUAAUUUCCUCAAAAUAUACUAUUUUUUAAUCUUAAAGAAGAGAUAAAAUGUUUAGCUACAAUUUUAAUAUUGUUCUUCAGCCUAGAAAACUUCCAUUGACAACAUGCAAACCUAGAAACCAUCCCUUGUGUUGGAUUGGGAUCAUUAGCUCAUUACAAUGAUCAGUGUCUAGCUGCAAGUUCUUUUGGGAUCUUGAAAUUCGAGGUAAAUGUGAAUGAUAUGUCUUUGAUGACUUUUGGAUUAACAUGCCAUGACGAUGCAGGAUGCAUUCAAGAUUGGGAUAUAGCACAAUCAAAACAAAACAAAACAAAACGAAACCGAAGAUCAACAUGAAGGUCUGACAAGAUAGCCUUCAACACGGAAGUAAUUAUAUGUUGUUUUGAACCUAAAUCUGUUUUUGUCUUCAGUAGUUAGUUGUUGUAAUUAUCCGAGUUUGGAUGAGAUAAUAAAAGUAAACGAAGUAGAUACUUAUAUAUUAAGUAUUAACUACCAUGUGUUGAAGACAAUUAAAGCAACCCAUUGUGUGAACAUUAAAUUCUGUACGUUUUUUUCCAAUAAUUAGCCUGAUAAUGCUCCUCGGAUGAAACAUAUAGAUAGAUCAAGUGAUUUCACGAUUCCAUUAUCUUCCAUAAUUAAAGGUUGGGAUACAAACAUCUUAAUAUGAAAUGCUGUUGCAAAACGAAUAAUUUGAUGCUAGGAGCAGUGGUAACAUGGCAGUGUGCUAAUAGUCACCUCAUAAUCACAAACGUCCAUAUUUCACGAACAUCGUCUCCUAAGCUAGCUCAAAUCACAAAAUGAAAGUGAUAUAUGAUUCAAUUUUAUUAAUUAAGCUGACGUUGAAAACAACCAAGUCGCCCUCUUGAAACACUAUAAACCUCACCCUUCACUCCAAAUUCUCCAUUCUCAAAGUAUAUUACUCUAACUUCUACUUUAGGCACGAAGCUCCUAGGAUUUGAGAGAGAUGGCUUGGAAAAGGUUAAAAUCGCUUACCCUCUUCCUUGUACUCAACAUUCUCUUUUUUUCUCCAGUCAGUGCUCGUGGUUCUUGCCCUUCCCCCAGCCCAAAACCAAAACCAAAGCCCACUCCCUCCCCAUCCCCUUGUGCGAAGGGUAAAUGCCCCAUUGAUGCCCUUAAAUUAGGUGUAUGUGCUAAUAUACUUGGUUUGGCUAAUGUCACCAUUGGUACACCCCCAGUCCAACCAUGUUGCUCCCUUCUCCAAGGUCUUACUGAUCUUGAAGCUGCUGUUGCCUUUGCACAGCAAUCAAAGCUAAUAUUUUAGGCAUCAACCUUAAUGUCCCGGUUUCUCUCAACUUGCUUCUCAACAUCUGCUCAAGGAAAAUUCCAUCUUACUUCCAAUUUCCCUAAUCAUGAUGUUUUUUGUGGUUUUAAAGUUCUAAUUAAUUUCCAAUUCCACUUCCCAGUGGUAAUUGCUUGUGGUAGCGUUUGUUUCCUUGUUGAUACAAAAUAAGUGUACUACCUUUUUUCUUUACAAAUGUUUUUUUUUGUACCUUUAAUGCAAAAUGAAAUACUAAUAUCAUUCAGUUUGUUCAUAACCAUGAGUUACGCUAAGCAUGUAAGUUAUGUUAGGAUUAUUUUAUUUUAUUAAGCAUCAUUAGUGAUGGGUUUUUUUGGAUUGAAUAAAAUUUAAUUCCCAAAUAAAAUUAAAGAUAUAUUAAUUUCAGAAUACAUUAAAUUAGACCUCUAAUUAAAUUUUAAUUCAUUUGUAGUGUUCACUCUGUAUUAACUUAAGUCCAAAUCAAAUAUAUAGCUACACGUAUAUGACUAAUAUAGUUUGAUGUGCAAAAGGUUAAAGUGUUUCAAAGUAGUAUAGUAUUAAGUACGUCUGUUGGGUAGUGGUAAAAUUAGAGGAGCAAGCAAGGGCCUUGACUCAUCCUUAGUCAAAUGCGAACAAUUUUUCUUUCAAAAGUUAAAUCUUUCAAUUUAAGUUUUUAACUUCUAAAUGAAUAAAUAAUUUAUAUUUUUUCCUUUUAAAAAAAUUAAUAAUGCAAUUUAAAAUUUUUUAACACAAAAUUUUAGCCUUGGUCUAUUCAAAAUAUUUUUAGUCCCCUAAAUAAAAUUCCUAACUUCACCUCUAACGUUGGGUAUACAAUUGGUGCAUGGUGUAGCAUUGCUUAGAAGCAAUCAUGGCUCUCACAAAGAGUCCAUAUAUCCUCUUAAAGGUAUUAUAUCAUUAAAGGAAAUUAAGCAUGGUUAUAGAUCAUUUACGAAAGGGAUAAAUCUCAAAAUUAUACAUAAUGAAUUUUGAUUUUGUACAAUUUUAUACAUAAAAUUUUAAUUUGAUCCAAUUCUUUUAAAUUAUUAACACAAUUAUUAAUAUAACAUUAUUUUAUGUUUAUAUAUUGCACAAAUCAAUAGUUAUAUUUAUCCAAUAUAAAAAUAAAUUGAUGUAUUUAUUUUUUUAAAUAUGUAUGAUUAAAUCAAAAUUAAAGUUUCAAGUAUAUAUACAUUUGAACCACAAUUAAAGUUUCAUGUGUAUAAUUGCAUCAAAUUAAAGUUCAUGUAUAUAAUUAUACAUUAAAUCAAAAUUCAUGUAUAAUUUUAAGAUUUAUCCCUUUAUGAAAUUAUAUGAUUUAUAAAUUACUAGUUUUAUGGAUGAUAAUUUUCAUUAUGGAGUCUGUAAUGGAAUUUUAAGAUAAUUUGAUUUAAAGUAUGUGAACAAAUAUAAUUUCAAGAGGUUGAGGACAUCACACUAGUUUUCAUACUUAUAUAAUUGAAAGUUCAUACUUUCAAUCACACAAAUACAAUAGCCAACCCCAUGAAUAAUAUCUAAAAUUAUCUUGGAUUACUUCAUCCACAAAGCUUUAAAUUCAUUUCGUAAUGUUUGGAGCCUCGCCUCCCUCAAUUUGUCAACUCUUUAGAAAGAGCUUUGCAAAAUCUUUAUUUUAUUAUUCUUUUUUUUUUGUGGUAGUGGUAUUGGUCACUUUUAUAAACGUCAAGCUUGUUUAUCGUUCUUUCUUAUUUUCAUCAAAUCAUCCUUUUUAUUUUGAAAUAAUAAUGACUCAUUUUGUGAAAAAUCAUAACCAUUUUGUACAACCUCCUAAAUAUCUUGUGAGCAAAACAAAACUUUCAUACAAAGACAUUAAUUUUCAUUAUUCUCUUUGGUAAGAUGAUGAAACUGAAAUUGAAACAUUCCAUUAUUUGUCACCUCUUAUACUACAUAAUCAAGUUUUAAUACCUUUUUGUUGGAAGAAUAAGGGAGAAAGAAAACAAUUUUAGAGAAGAGAAUAGGAUGAAACUAACUUUGCAUUGUGAAUUUCUUUUCUUUUCUUUUCUUUUUCUCCAUUUUUUUUUUGCUUACAUUUUGUAACGCCCCAAUUUUUGCGAAUUCUGUGAAUGUUGGCAUAGUUUUAAUUAUGUUAGUGGGUCUCUAGAAGGCCCAAGCUUAAGAUAGAACCCGGUAAUUUUAGUUAAUUUUUGUUCCAUAAGAAAAAGGGAGUGAAAUUAUGAAAUAGGACCUAUGUGAAAAUGUUUGAAAAUGCUAUAGGCUAAUUUGUAGUGGCCAAAUAAAUAGUAGUGCAAAAUAGGAGGAUUUGCUUGUCAAAUUCCCCACUUUUAAUGUAGUGGCCGGCCAAGGUGAUGGAUAGUUGAUAAUGUAUGCAUUUUAGCAUUUUAAUAGUUAAUGGAUGAUGGGCAUGAUAAGCAUUAUGGGCAUAUUUUUAUUGGAAUUAUGGCAUGAGUAUGGCACAAAAAUUAGUAUAUCAUUUAUGUGUCAUAAAAUGUUGAGUGAUAAGAAUAACAAAAGGAAGCAAAGGAAGGUUUUUGUUCAUUCUUUGUUCUUCAUAGCCGAAUUUGAGAGAGAGCAAAUAGGGGAGCAAACCCUUGAAUAUUCGGUCACUAGGAGGGGGAAAAAUUGAAGGUAAGUUCUUGGUACUUUGCUUCUAUCUUGAUGUUCAUGAGUUCUUCUUGAUUCUACCCUAACUAAUGAAGCAUAUUUUGGUUUUUGGUUGUUGUUUCAUGUUCUUUUGAUGAAAAAUGGAAGAUAGGUGAAGUUGAGAACAAAUGAGCAUGCAUGUGCCUUAGAUGCUAAGGGGAAAAAUCGGCUAACAUGUUGUGCUUUAAAAUUAUGAAAUGGAGAUUAUACUUAAGUAAAAUCAUAGAUAUGUGAUGAUUGAUUGGUGAUAUACAUGUUUAAAUAACAAGCAUGCAAGUUAGGUGUGAAAGAGUGAUUUGGUAAUAAAUCUGCUUGGGACAGCAGCAGUAACGUGACUUUGGAAAAUCACCAUAAAUUGCGGGAGAUGAAUUAGAAGCUGAAUAAAUUAUGUAAUUAAAUCUUAAUGAGUCUAGUUUCAAAUGAAAUAAAUGAGAACAUAUUUUGAAUUCUGUACAAUGAGAAAUUUGAUUUGUAAUGAAGAGUGGUCAGAUUAGUCAAACAGUGAAACAUGGGAAACUUUAAGAAAAAUCUGGUAUUGAUUGGCCAUACCAAAAAUUCUGAAAAUUUUAUGGAUAGAAGGUAUAUGAGUCUAUUUUCAGGGAAAAUUAACGGUACAUGAUUUGGAGUUUCGUAGCUCCAGUUAUAAAUGAUUUAGUGACUGUUGCUCAGGAAGACAGCUUGCAGUGAAAUUAUGAUUAUGUGGUAAACAUUGACAAAAAUUUGUUAAUAAGUUGCUUAUUGAUUUCUUAUAAGCUUACUAUGAUCUGUAGGUGUGGUUGGCCGAAUAUUGUAAGGGGUUAAUACGUAGUUUGUAUUUGAAUAGUUAGAUUAACGUGUUAGUAAUCCAAUUGUAGGCGGUUCGUGUGUGGAUCUCGUCAGCAUAUCGUCGCAAACAGGUGUGUAACUAACACCCUCUUUCUUAGUCUAGAUCGGCAAAAGUCGAAAAGCCGAAAUGCCGAAAACCGGUAUUUUGUAGAUUUGCGAGUGUGCGAAUGCUCGUGAGGUAAAUCGAUUAAUGUUUUUGGUAAGCUGCAAUGUUUGGACUGCAAAGUGCAUGAUUUCUGUGCCCUCGAUAUUUUUGGGCUUAAUGGGCCAAAAUUGGAAUGAUGGGCCAACGGGCCCAAUUCGGUAAGAACCCUCAGUAGUGAUUCUGUUAGUACGUGAAAGGUAGGAAUAUGCAUGAAAAACCCUAAAAUAGGUAAAUUACUGAAAUACCUUUAAAAGUGGAAAUUUUACAGUUUUACCCCUAGGAGAUAAAUUACCGAAAUACCCCUAGGGUUAAAUUGACCUAAAUGCAUGCUUGACUGUUGUUAUUUACUGCAUGCCAUGUUGUUAUUAUCUGAUGCAUGGGACUGGGAUAUUGACGGAGGAAGUACUGAAAGUGGCUUGUCCACGUACUGGAGGCUUUACCUCAAUUUACUGUUAACUGAGCAGCAAUGCUGCAAUUGUGGAGUGUUGGGCUGGGGGGUUGAGCUAUUCCCCACAUAGAGUGUAUGGCUGGUACGGGUGGAGUGUAGUGGUUGGUGGGUUGAGUAGUCUCCCCAAAUGGGCUUGCAUAUGUUUACUGAUGUUGCAUGUAUUUUGAAAUGGGCCUAUGGGCCAUACUGUUAUCUGAAUAAGGGGCUAAGGCCCAGUUUAUUGUAAUCUGAAAAGGGUUCUGGCUCAGUACCACUGUUACCUGAAUGGGCUUAGGCCCAAUGGGCUUAAGCUGACUUGGGCUUUGAAUGGGUUUUCCUUACACACUGAGUUUCCCCAAACUCACCCCUUCUUUAACCUUACAGGUGAGCCUUGAUGUGGGUGACUUGGAGCCGGAGGGGAUUUAGAGUGGCCAUGGUGAAUACUUUUGGGUUUGAAAAAAAGAGACUGGUUUUCUUAAGUUAUUUUUAAUUACUAUUUAAUUUUUGGGUUGUAAUAAGGCCAUUUUAACUUUAUUUUCUUAUUUGAUUUUUUGGGGAUUAUAUUAUUAAAAACAAAUUUAAAUUGAUGGAUACUAAUUCAAAUGGGCUAGACUUAGGGCGUGAUUUCAAAACGAUACUUGUUUUUUUAAAAAUAACACGACGUCACGAAUAUUCGAUUUACCAAAGAAAUUUCAACUUAUUAUAACCAAGUGUGGCAAUGGAUGUGGACAUGUCUAGGAUUGGAUCCAAUUGGAGAGCUUGGUACUUAAGCAGCCUUCAUGGCUCACCUCCUCUGUUAUGGAUACCUACCUGGUGCCCAGCUUCCAUUCACUUGGUUAGUUUGACAAAAGUCGGCUUUUUAAAACACUAAAAAGGGAACACGGGUUUUUGACUUCAAAGUGGCACAUCAGAUUCGGCCUUAACGUCUGGGCCGGGUUUGGGGUGAUACACAUUUGGUUACAACUUUCAUUUUCUAUUUAUAAUGACUUCUAAGCUGAUUUAAAACUCAAUUCUUAUUCAAGCACUAUCUAAAUCAUGAUCGAAAAUCUUUAUCUAAAUCAACUAGUUGGCUAGAUCCUUAUCAAUGUUAUCAAUCUAACCCUUUGUUGCAGUACGGAGAUAAAAUGAACUUAUAAGAAAUUAACGAAGGCUUCAAGACAAGUAUCAAUGACAUUUUCAUUAAAAUUCUAUUCGCCUCCACUUAUAUUAUGGUGUGCAAAAUAAUUAUGGACAAAUGUACCUUGAGGAUAUAAUAAAGCCCAAUGACUAUAUAUGUUUUGCACUAACGAAAAUAGUCCACUGAGCAUUGAUCGGACCAUAGUAAGAAUAUCAAUUUCUAUAAAGAACUUCUGCAAUAAUACUUUGUAGAACAAUAUAGGAAUAUUAGAAGAUGGGGCAGAAUAGAAAGAAACUUUUGUUUCUCAACUUUUGAUGUGUUUUUUUGGUUUGUCAAACAAAUGAAAUUUGACUCCUAUUUAUAGGAGUUCUUUUGUCUCUUUAUAAGAACACAACUAUCUAAAUGGAUAGUCACAUCUUUUAACAAUAAACAUAAUUAUUCAAUAGAUAUCUCCUUGAAUAAUCAUGAUUCAUUGUUAAUAAUCAAGUGAUAUAAUUUUUGAAUUUAAUAGACAUAACUCUUCAUUAUGAAAUAUGAUAACUUCAGUAUAUAUAUUUUGAAAAUGUUCCAAUGAUCCCCCCCCAAUUUCAGAAUAUUCUAGAUUUUGAUAAUCUUGGAAAUCAAUUGCAUAAAUGAAUGUGUCUUACGAUUGAACCUCCACUAAGUGAAAACUUUACUAUAUGUUGAACCAAUUAUUCCAUUUGAUUAACCGAGCACAUCUCACACAAUUAUUCCAACACCAGUCAAUGUAGAGUAUCCAAGGACACUAUUAUGGCCACGUGUUUGUAACCUCUUUCCAGGAGUGUUAUCAAAGUCAAGCUCUUGAGUUCCCAGAAGCGGCCACACUUCCACUCACAUAGGUAGAUCCCACCAAGAGUGUUCCUAUGAUUGUAAAACUCUAACAUAUUUAUGUUAUGGGUCUAUUAAGAGUAUAUUACCAUCAUCAUUUCCUUAUCAUUGCUGAUACCUAACACUUUUUACCUUGGGAUGAUAUAUUAUAUAUUAUUUUAUAGUGUUAGCAGUCACAUACUAAUUAUAUAUUUUGUCUCGUUGAACUCAAGACUUGACAUUAUAUCAAGUGUUGAGUUGAGUUUCCAUCAUUGGUGGCUCAAAUAUUAUAGGCUUGUACCUCAUCCCUAGAUUUUCAAAUUUUCAACAUAGCUAUGUUAAUUAUCUAUACUACAUGGUGAAACUUUAUAUUUAUUUGUGUAUUGAAAAUUCACAAGACUACAAUGUUCAAUUAUUCAUUCUUUCACAAAAGAAUGCUAUCAAUGAUAUCAUUUCUACUAUUGUCAAAUGACAGUGGUCACUUUAUCUUUUCUUAUCAUAACAAUUUCAUAUUUGACUACUUUAUUUAUUUUUUAAUAUCCAAAAAAUUAAUUUCACAAUCAUCAAAUAUAUGAAACCAUACAUCAUAUCUUUUUCACCAAGUUGUUGUAAAGAGACCUUAAGUCUUUUGGUAAAACUAGACAACAUAUUUUCUAUUUGUCAUAGCCUUUUUUCAAAGUCAAUACAUGACUUUAAAUGGGUCAAAUAUCAUUCAUAUUACUAUUAUUUCUAUACUUACAAGAUCUUUGAUUCAAGACUUUCAAAGUAAAUUUCAAAAUUUAUUGCAUCUCAAAAUUUUAUAAAACCACGAGAUUAUAAUUCAUAUCCAAGCCAUAUAUAAAAAACCACAUGCACAAUCAUAAAUAUGCAUUGUAACACCGCUAACCCGGCCUAGACGUUAUGGUCGAAUCUGGGUGUGUUACGAAGAAGGGUUUUAAAUUACAUCUUUCAAGUUAAAACGUAUCAUUUUAUUAGUUUACCAAUCGGAGUCUUAAUAUCCAGAAAAACUUGUGUUUAUAAUCUUAUUUGAAACUAUUUUAAGUUAUCAAAAAUUUGCAGCGGAAGUUUGAAAAUCUUUUUAUUCGAACUCAUGUUUUCAAAAACCAUUUUUUUGCGUAAAAUGUUUUUGUCAACAUUGCGGAAAAGAAAGCAAAACAAAUUCUAAAUCCAAAAGUUAAAACCAUACAGUACAGAGAGUCCAAAAAAAUUACCAACUCUCAAGAAAAACCAAAUUUUAAAGUAAAACCAUUAUUACUAAAUAAAAAUAGUUCUCUAUCGAGUGGUCACUGCUAAGCCUCCAUCACACCAACCGGCCUAAGUUUAUGGAUUACUUGAACAGAACAGACAAACAGAUGUGAGUUUUCAUAAACUAAGUGUGUAACCCAACAGAAGUAGUCAUGCAACAUACAUAUAAUCUUAUAUACAGUCAGAUACAGAUUCGAAUCUAAGUCCGUAACAAUAACAAAUAUCAGAAUCAGCUAGCAGACCACAGAAUCCUACCCCCAUCCUCUACACAUCAUCUCUGUCCAUCCAAUCACACCAUGUGGGUUUAAAAACACCCACCUAUCCCUACACACUAUAUAGUGUCGAUGCGACACAUAACAGAUAAUAUACAGCUAAGCUGCCAGAUAAUAGGUGAAAGGUCGCCGUACAGAUCACUUCCUCCACAUAUGCAAAUCUCACCCCAAACACAGAUGCAUAAUACGGAUACAGAAAUUACAGAUUUAACAUGCUUAACAUGCUCGUAUACAGAUAACAUACAUACUUAAGUAGUACAGUCAAACAUAUAUAUAAAUUUUUUACUCAGAUCGGACUAUCAGAAUAUUAGAUCACAUGAAAUAGGGUUUGGCUAGCCUUUACCGUCCCUAUAGUAAGUCCACAGUCGAUCGAAACAACCCGCGUGACCAUAGGGAAAAUUUUAAAAGUUUGGGCCCAUACACCCAGAAUGGCCUUGCCCGUGUGGCCCACACGGCCUGGCCCAAAACCCACAUGCCUAUGUGGCCCAUAGCCCAACCUAGACUAACUCGUAUGGCCCACACGGCUACACUCACACCAUCACACGGUCGUAUCGAGUGCACGGCCUCACCUUUGUUAGUCACACGGCCGUGUCUCGCAUACGACUAGCCAUACGGUUGGCCACACGCCCGUAUGAUGUCGACAGCCUCCUUUUUGACUUUUGUCAAACCUCGAUUUUUCAUUUUUAGGGUACACACCUGGUACAAUUUUGAUACGAAAGCAAUCCCAAGCCAUUUCAACCUAAAAAACACCAUUCAAUCGAUCAAUUCCAAGUACCGAAACACCAAUCUAUCAAAACCCCAAUCGACAUACUUGAAAAUUUUACUCAAUCGAAAGGCUCGAUAACUUACCAAAACAGUUACGAUAGCCCAAACACACUACACGAUAGAAGAUGAAUUUUGAUCCCCUUGAAUAACACCUACAUAAGAAUUCACCACAUUAACACACUCGAAAAUGAUUCCCAAUUGCACAAAACUUCAAGAAUACUUACUUACCAUAGUCCGAGUAGAGAUUACAAAACCCAAAACACAGUGAUUGAACGACGGUAUAGCGAACAGAAAUCAAAGAAAGAAGAAAUUAAAAAGAAAACGUUUGGAAAAUAAAUUCGAUGAAGAAACAUCAAAAGGUAUUCGGAAAGAGAGAAAAAUAAAAAUAAAAAUAAAAAGAUAAGAUAAGAUAAAAAUAAAAUUGAUUAAUUUGGACACAAUCCCACUACAUCAACUAACAACCCAACCAACUCGGAAUUUCAAGACCAUCCAAACUCUCUCAGCUAACCGCAACAAAAAUUAUCACCCUCGCUCACGUAGGGAUUUGAACACAGAACCUCCAGCAAGUUAACUCUUAACCGCUAGAACCAACAGGAUCAUUCUGAUAUUGAUUUAUAUAAGCUCACCCAACAAGGAUAAGGUUUAGAUAAAAAAUAACAAAAAUUUCAAUUUGGGACUUGAACCCAAGACUUCAAACACACCAUCAAAUCACUUAACUACUGAAGCAUAUACACAUUUAUGUCAGGAUUUAUAGAAAUAGAAAUAAAUUAUUCAGGGCAUUACAACUCUAGCCCCUAAAAGAAAUUUUAGCCUCAAAAUUUACCUGAUUCGAACAGAUACGGAUAUUGCUGAUGCAUCGAGUUUUUAGGUUCUCAUGUGGUUUCCUUAGUGCCAUGAUUCUACCACAAAACUUUAACCAACGGAAUGGACUUCCUCCUCAGAACCUUAAUAUCUCGAUCCAAAAUCUGAACCUGCUUCCUCUUAAACUUCAAGUUCGGUUUAACCUCGAUCUCUUCAAUAGAGACAACGUGAAAUGGAUUAGACCGAUACCGCCUCAACAUCGAGACUUGAAACACAUCAUAGAUACGAUUCAACUCUAAAGGUAGCUUUAACUGAUAAGCAAUUGGUCUCACACACUUCAAAAUCCAAUACGGCCCAAUGAACCUAGGGCUUAACUUGCCCUUACGACCAAACCGCAGAACCUUUUUCCACAGAGGCACCUUAAGAAAUACAAAGUCCCCCACAGAGUACUCGAUAUCUCUCCUUUUCAGAUCCGUAUAAGACUCUUUUCUAUCAAAAGCCGCCUUCAAACGAUCCUGAAUAAGUCUAACAUUAUUUUCAGUCUCAGUAACCAACUCAGGACUCAAAACCCGCUGCUCACCCAACUUAAUCCAACAUAGUGGAGUACAACACUUACGACCAUACAAAGCCUCAUAAGGUGCCAUCUGAAUGUUAGACUUGAAACUAUUGUUGUAGGCGAACUUAGCUAACUGCAAAAAAUCCUCCCAACUACCUCAAAAAUCAAUCACACAACCCCGAAGCAUAUCUUCUAGUAUUUGAAUCACCCUCUCAGAUCGACCAUCGGUUUAAAGAUGAAACGCAGUACUGAAGUUAAUCUCGAACCCAGUACAUCGUGAAGUUUCUUCUAGAAUCGAGAAGUAAAGCGCGAAUCCCUAUCAGAAAUUAAUGAAACUAGAACCCCAUGCAGUCUUACAAUCUCAGAGAUAUAGAGCUUCGCUAAAUUCUGUAUAGAAUAGUCAGUUCGAACCAGAAUAAAAUAAGCAGACUUGGUCAAUUUAUCCACGAUGACCCAAAUAGAAUCCUUCUUAAUGGAAGUUAAAGGCAACCCACAAAUGAAGUCCAUCGUCAUAUGUUCCCAUUUCCAUAAGGGAAUCUUAACGGGUUAGAGCAAACCCGAAGGUAACUAAUGUUCAACCUUAACUUGCCGGCAUGUUAGAUAACGAGCAACAAAAUUAAUUACUUCACGUUUCAAUCCCGACUACCAGUAUAGCUCACGAAGAUUCUGAUACAUUUUAUUACCACCAGGAUGUAUAGCAUAAGGGUUACUAUACGCUUCCCUCAAAAUCGAUUGUCUCAUAUCAGAAUCAUUCGGUACACAAACCCGUCCUCAGAAACACAUAACUCCAUCCUUAUUCAGUCUAAAAUCAGAAGUACUGUCACUCUCAGCCUAACGAAACCACAGACCCAAAGACUCAUCGUUAACUAUUUUUCUUAAAUUUGCCCAAUCCAAGUCGGCUUAACCUGCAACUCGGCUAACAGGCCCCUAUCAUCGAACAAACUAAAACGAGUGAACAUUGCUCUACAACUGAGAGCAUCAGCCACCACAUUGGCCUUACUGGAAUGAUAUUAUAUCGUGCCGUCAUAAUCCUUGAGUAACUCAAUCCAUUGAUGUUACCUAAGAUUCAACUCCUUCUAAGUAAGAAGGUACUUGAGGCUCUUGUGAGCGGUGUAGAUGAUAUACCUUUCAACGUAUAGAUAGUGCCUUCAGAUCUUUAACGCAAACACUACAGUGGCUAACUCAAGAUCGUGCGUCGAAUAAUUCCCUUCGUGUAACUUAAACUAACGGGAUGCAUAAGCCACAACCUUAUCAUUUUGCAUCAAUACACACCCUAGACCGAUGUACGAUGCAUCACUAUACACUACAAACUCCUUACUAGAUUCAAGCUAUAUCAGAAUAUGAGCUUGAGUCAGAACAGACUUGAGCUUCUCGAAGCUUGAUUGUUGCGUAUUAGUCCAGACGAAAGGAACAUUCUUGCGUAGAAGCUUAGUUAGAGGAGCUGCAAUUAGUGAGAACCUCUUAAAAAACCUCUAAUAAUAACCCGCAAAACCUAGAAAAUUGUAGAUAUUAGAAACGUUCUUAGGCUGUUUCCAAUCAAUCACGGCCUCAAUCUUAUGAAUAUCAGCUUCCUUAACCCUAAGCUGAUGAUACCCAGAUCGAAGAUCUAUUUUCAAAAAUAUCAAAGCUCUACAGAACUAACCAAACAGGUCGUUGAUCCUUGGAAGUGGGUACUUAUUCUUCACAGUUAGUUUAUUCAACUACCGGUAGUCGAUGCACAUCCUUAUGGUACCGUCUUUUUUCUUCGCAAACAGAACUACUGCUCCCAUGGAGACACACUAAGACAGAUAAAACCACGAUCUAAAAGCUCCUAAAAUUGAGCCUCAAGCUCUGUAAGCUCUUUCGGUAUUAUACGGUAUGGAGCAAUGAACACCGAAACUGUUCCCAGUAGAAACUCAAUGCCAAACUCAACUUUUAGAUUCGAAGGUAAACCUAGUAACUCCUCAGGAAAAAUAUCUGAAAAUUCCCUCACUGUUCUGAUAUCCUCGACAGAAGAGUCCCUAGAAACUGAAACAUGACAUAGGCCAAAUACGUUUCACACCCUUUUCGAACCAAUUUCUCAGCCACAAGAACAGAGAUCACAUUAGACAGAUAAUCUCAAUGCUCGCCAAUCAAAACUAUUUCCUUAUCAUCCUUGUUCCUCAAAACGACCCUCUUAGUUGCACAGUCUAAACUAACUCGGUGCUCAACUCACUAGUCUAUACCUAGAAUUAAGUCGAACUCCCUAAACAGUAGCUCCAUCAAAUUUGCCAGAAACACAGCUCUUUGUACCUCUAAUGGAACAUUCCUAUAUAGUCUACUAACCCGAACAGAUUGUCCUAAUAGAUUUAGUACCGUAAUCUCACUAGAAGUACACUCAACAGAAAUUCCCAAGUUCUCGGAAAUAGUACUAGCUACAGAGAAGUGUGUAGAAACUAUAUCUAUCAAAGCAGUAUAUAGAGCAUCAAAAAUAAAGAACGUACUUGUGAUCACAUCAGGGGCGUCUCUGUCCUCUCAGCGUCGAGUAGCAAAAAUCAGUACAGACUGCCUCAUUUCAGUCUAAUUAGCACCGAUUAGAGGUGCUCUCUGCCAUCAGCCUAUACCAUUACCACCCCUAGCCAGUCCACGGCCCUUAGGUGGCUGGUAUACCGCCUUCUGAAGCUGAACAAAACCCAGUCACGAAGCUUACAUCUGAUUAGAAUGAUGCAGACACUCUCUAAUUCAAUGCUCCAAUUACCUACAUAUUAGACACACCCCUAAUCUCCUCUAACACUCGCCCGGAUAGCGCCUAUCACAAUCACUACAAGGCUAAAUCUAGUAAGAGCACAGGAACUCUCACUCUAAUAAGCCCAUCAGGUCUGGCCCGUUUCUUAGGCCUAUGAGCAAAACUAGAGCGCUCCGAAUCCCUCUUAUUUUUUCCUAUAUCUCGAUCUCUGUUUUAGCACUCUACACGCUUAACCUCCUCGGUGAUCUUCGCCUUAUCCACAAGAACUAUAAACUCUCGCUCCCUUUGUAGAACAAUGAAUACCCUCAGACUAUCCCUUAAGCUGUCCUCAAAAUAGACACAUUUGUCAUACUUAGCUGCCGCCAUACCUCGAGUGUAGCAACUCAAUCUCAGAAAUUCAGCUUCAUACUUGGCCAUAGACUUAUCACCUUGGGUGAGAUUCAUGAACUCACGUCUACAAGCAUCCACAUAGCUCGUGCCCACUUUUCCUAGAAGGCAAUCUUAAAGUAGUCUCAGUUCAUACGAUCUGGUUGAGUACCAUCAUCAACCGAUAACCACUACUGAUACACCUUAUCAUGAAACAAAGAAACUGUACCUUUCAAUUUCUGCUCAGGAGUGUAAUUGAUGUCGUUCAUAAUCCUCUUAGUGGCCUCCAACCAAUACUCGACCACAAUAGGGGUGACUCUAGUGACGCCUUUAAAUAAUUUAGCUCCAUUAGACCGGAGCCGUUCAGUUAUUGACCCACAGCCUCUAGAUCCAGAAUGGGGUCUAGCGACCCUCUCCAACCCUCUUAACAUGGCUUGGGACAGUGCGUCAUCCCCAGCUGAGCGAUUUUGAGACCUAAUCUCAAUAGCAGGUAAAACCGGUGUCUCACUUGUAUCCAAAUUCUGCAUAAUACCUAGACAAGAAGACUCAGUUUGAGCCCGCCUACGGCGCUCGCUGGGCUCACGGAUACCAUGAUCACGAGUUCUACGAGCGCUCAUCGUAUUUUCAAUUUUAUUUACAUUAUAAAAUUUUAUGCAUUAGUUCCACUGUUUAUUAGUAGAUAUUUUAUGCUUAAAUAAUCAAAUGUUCAAAAUUAUUUCAGAGAUUUUAGUCUCUAACUAACUCAAUGCAAUUUUAGAAAGUACUAACUAUAGUGUUUUCUAAAUUCAAAGAUACUUACAAGAUCAGUGCUGGAGACUCGGUGUACCACAUACUUACUCAAAAUGAUCCACAUUAUUUGAAAACUAAUCCUUUUCUAAAACACAAUUUUGGAACCCAAAAUUUAUAGCCCGAGUUUUGUAAUCUGGCUCUGAUACCACUAAAUGUAACACCCUUAACCCGGCCUAGACGUUAUGGUCGAAUCUGGGUGUGUUACAAAGAAGGAUUUUAAAUUACAUAUUUCAAGUUAAAACAUAUCAUUUUAUUAGUUUACCAAUUAGAGUCUUAAUAUCCAGAAAAACUUGUGUUCAUAAUCUUAUUUGAAACCAUUUUAAGUUACAAAAAAUUUGCAACGAAAGUUUGAAAAUCAUUUUAUUCGAAACCAAGCUUAUGUUUCCAAAAAUAAUUUAUUUGAGUAAAGUGUUUUUGUCAACGUUUCGAAAAAAAAAAAGCAAAACAAAUUCCAAAUCUAAAAGUUAAAACCAUACAGUCCAGAGAGUCCAAAAAAUUGCAAACUCUCAAGAAAAACCAGAUUUUCAUGUAAAACUGUUAUUACUAAAUAAAAACAGUUCUCUAUCGAGUGGUCACCGUUGAGCCUCCAUCGUAUUGACCUAUCUAAGUCUGUGGAUUACUUGAACAGAACAGACAAACAGAUGUGAGUUUUCAUAAACUCAGUGUGUAACCCAAUAGAAGUAGUCAUACAACAUACACAAAAUCUCAGAUUCAGACCUAAGUCCAUAACAAUAACAGAUAUCAGAAUUAGCUAACAGAUCACAAAAUACCCCCAUCCUCUACACACCAUCUCCAUCCAUCCCAUCACAUCAUGUAGGGUUAAAAAUACUCACCCAUCCCUACACACCAUAUAGUGCCGAUGCAACACAUAACAGUUACGAUUUUGAUGCGAAAGCAAUCUCGAGCCCUUUCAACCUAAAAAAACACCAUUCAAUUGAUCAAUAUCUAGUACCGAAACACCAUUCUAUCAAAACCACAAUCGACGUACUUGAAAAUUUUACUCAAUCGAAAGGCUUGAUCACUUACCAAAACAGUUAUGAUAGCCCAAACACACUACACGAUAGAAGAUAAAUUUCAAUCCCCUUGAUUAACACCUAUACAAGAAUUCACCACGUUAACCACCCAAAAACGAUUCCCAAUUGCACAAAACUUCAAGAAUACUUACCUACCACAAUCCGAGCAGGGAUUAUGGAACCCAAAACACAUUGAUUGAACAACAGUAUAUCGAACAGAAAUCAAAGAAAGAAGAAAUAAAAAAUAAAACAUGUGGAAAAGGAAUUUGGAAAAGAAACGUCAAAAGGUAUUUGGGAAGAGAGAAAAAUAAAAAUAAAAAUAAAAAAUAAGAUAAAAGUAAAAUUUAUUAAUUUGGAUACAAUUCCACUACAUCCGCUAACAACCCAACCAACUCAGAAUUUUAAGACCAUCCAAACUUUCUCAGCCAACCGAAACAAAAAUUAUCACCCUCACUCGUGCAGGCUUAUCCUAAUAUGGAUUUACAAAUAAUUUUAUAUAAGCCCACCCAACAGGGAUAAGGCUUGGAUAACAAAUAACAAAAUUUCCAAAUAUGGGACUUGAACCCAAGACCUUAAACACACAUUCAAAUAACUUAACCAUUGAAGUAGAUACAUGUUUAUGUUAAGAUUUACUGAAACAUACAUAAAUUAUUCAGGGCGUUACAUGAAUAGUAUGGUCUCGGUUCAAAUAUAUGAUUACCAUGUUAUAUAUUCUCACUAGAAGCUUUCAUACCAAAAUCGUGAUCUUAUUAUAUAAGCCAAUUAUUUCCACUAUUCUACAUUGACAAGAAAAAUUGGUCAUGCAUAUGCAUUUGACUUAUUUCAUUUCUAGUCAAAAUCAUUUCUAAUCUAAACUUUAUAACGUAGAAUAAAAAAUGUGAAAUCAUAUAUAAAACACAUUUAACUUACGGUUAUUUAACAAAAACAACAACAAAAAUUAUUUGUAUUAUAUGAUCAUCUACAAACUUUUAUUUUUAGCAAUGAAAAUAAUGUUUCAUCAAUAUCAUCCAAAUGUUCGUUACUAAUAUCAUGAUUUAAAUAAACAAAAAUAUUAAUAUCUCAAAUUAAAUAUAUAUCAUUAAAAAAGAAAGAACGUUUUUAUACUAAAAUUUCACUUACAAAAUUGGAUGGAAUGAAUUAAAUUUCAAUUCUCUAAACUUACUAUUUAUUUAUAAUGCUUUGUUAGGUGGAUAAGUGACUUUUUAAAAUGACAUCACUUUUCAAGUUGCACUUUUUGGUUUCAAAAGAUCAUUUCAACUUAACCUUUUGAAAGUAACUAUUGGAUUCAAUAAUAUAACUUUUUGGCUUAGGAAGGUUUUCCUGAAUGGUCAUAAUGUUUCUAUUGGAUAGAUAUUUGUUCAACUAAUGUUUGAAUCGUGUCAUCACCAUUCAAAACAAAACUAUUGUUUCGAUCCAUUAAUUGAUCAUUUCCCAACCGUGCUUUUUCAUUCUAUCCAUCUUCUUUCUUUAUUUAUUGCAUGAUAUAUGAUAUUUAUUAUAUACUUCUAUUCUAAUCACAAUCAUGCAUUUUAAAAUGUCAUGCAUACGAUAAACUAGCAUUUGAUUUUUGUCAAGUAAUUGAUGCAUAAGACAACAGUGUUCUUUUAUAUAAUAUUGUUCAAUAAACACAUUACGAUUGAAGUCUAUUUCAUGCAAAGUAAAAAAAUAAAUAUGACAUACCUUUGCUCGCGAUAAAGAUCUCUUAUAAAUCAAAAUUUGACAAGAUCGAUGAUCUCAAUAUUGUCCCAUUCCUGAUAGCCAUCCUCAUAGUACUUUGCUUGUAAUGGCAUGUGAAUGCACAGUAAAUAUAGACAAUUCUCAUAAUUUGCGAAAUUAGAACCUUAAAAUUGUUAGUGUAUAGGGAUAAAAAUGAACUUAUGAGAAAUUAAUGAAGGCUUCAAGGUGAGUAUCAAUGUCACUUUAAUUAAGGUUCUAUUCGCCCCCACUUAUAUUAUAAUGUGUAAAAGAACUACUGGCAAAUAAACAUUGAGGAUAUAAUAAAGCUCAAUGAUUGUCAAUCUUUUGCACUAAUAAAAAUAGUCCACUGAGCAGUGGCCGGAGCAUUGAGGAUAUAAUAAAGUAAUAUAAUUUUUUAAUUUAAGAGACAUAACUUGUCACUAUGAAAAAUGAUAACACUUGAUUAAUAACCAAGUGAUAUAACUUUUAGUUACUUUGUAACUUUUCAUUUACAACGAUUAAAACACUAUAUAUAUUAAAAAUGUUCAAACACCCCUAACCUAAUUGUGAUCCAUAUCUACAAAAUCGGAUAAAAUAAAUCUAAUCACAUGAACAAAUAGCAAGUUUACACUAGCAAACAUCAAAUACUUCCAAAUAACAUGUUUACACAUUUAGAAGCUUCAAAUUACUUUAUCCAACAUCAAAUACUUCUAAAGCAACUUUUAUAGCAAGUGUCUCUGCAAAAUUCGACGCAUAAACACGGCUACAUCUGAAUGGCCCCAACUUUCCACUAGAAGAGCCACCAACAUUGAACUUGAGAGCAUCCAUCUUUGGGCAAAUACACUUACAUUUACUUGUAAUAUUCUUAAAAGCUGAUUUUAUAUUAGUUGUUAGGAAUGGUUUAACUUUUCUUAUUUGUGUUUCUCUUGUGAACAUAUAAUAAAAAAUAUUGAUAUAGUAUUUAAUGGAAAUGCAUUCAUUCAAUUGAAAGGUAAUAAAGAGAAUAAAGCUAAUAAAAUGGAUAGGGCAUCAACCAAAAUAUUAGUAAUUUAUCGAAUGAAUUUACAAACUUUAUAAAAAGAAUGUGAAAUUAAAAUUUGGGAGUACCACACAUAAUUUUAUCAUACUUUUAAAUAUAUAUAUAUAUAAAAUUAAAAUUAUGAGAGAAUUUAAAAGGACGGAGAUCCCUCUUAGCUUCUUUUUUUUUCUCGGAAUUAAUGUAUUUUUCAUGUAAAUUAAUUUUUUUAGGUUUAUGCUUGCCUCUCUUGAUAAAAUUAUUUUAAGGUUUAAACUUAAAUUCUCCCUUAAAAUUGUAAUAUGUAUUAUCAUUAUAUCCAACACUUGAGAUAUUAAAUUUAAAUUAACUCAAAAACUAACAAAAACUUUAUUUGGAUUGGAAUUUAGUUGCAUGCAUUGUAACUACAUUUUCCUAUAUAAAUUCAUACAUUAGGUUUUAGAUUUAAAUGUGAAUCUUGGUUAAAAGUAUUCCUACUUGUUUUAUUGAGUUAUGAAAUUAUUAAAAUAUCAUCUUAUAUAUAUAUAUACAUAAAUAAUUAAAUUAUAAUUUUACGAGGGUGUUUUUGUCUCUUUCAUGAGAUUUAAAAUUAAAACACCAUGCAUAAUAAAUAUAAUAAAUAAUUAGCUUUAUCAUUGUAACCAAAAAUUAUGAGAAUUUCUAAUGGGAGUCAUAAAUAUAGUAUAUUUGAUACAAAUGACAUUUUAUAUUUACACUCUUACUUCUUUUUAUCAAAACUCAGGACAUUCAAACUAUUUCAGCAAAUUAAUAGCAUAGGUGUUUGAAAAUGGAAAAAGAUUUACUUAAACGAAAGAUGGGGAGGCACCGCAUUCAUACAUACAUUAGCAAGCGUUUAGGAGGGCUACCACAUUUGUUUGUAUUAUAGAAUUAGCUCCAAAGCAAUACAUCAAUCAAUUUAAUUGCUUGACUUGUUUCUUUGUUGACAAGUUAAAGCAAGAUCUUGCUAAUCGUAUUAUUGAAAAAUAACACUAGGAUAAAAAAGGGAAAUUUUAUUAUAGGAAAAAUAAUAUCAAGUUCCAAGUUGUGUAAACCACAUAUAUUUCUUUUAAUAUGGUAAUUAUCAUGUAAUGGAGUCUAUCUUCCAGUUUUUUUCAUUUACAUUUUAUUCUUAAAAGAAAACCUUUUUUUAUUUACUCAACUUUCAUAUAAUUAUCUCCUUUCGUCAAGCCAUAGUUAAAACAAUCUUUUUCUUUUCUUUCAUUUCACCAUGGAAACUUAUGCACACAAACUUUUGGUAAGAGAAGAAGACAAAAUAAUUUGGAUUAAAAAUUAUUUCAAAUGAAAACAAAAGGCAAAUUGAAAACAAAUCUGGGAUUCCAUAACUAUCCUAAGAGAUAAGAUUGUUGGGUUAUGAUGUUCAUCCAUGGCAGCCAUCAUUGGAUGAUCAAAGCUUUACCAUUUUUUUUUAUUUUUUUUAUUUUUUACUCUUACGAACAAUACAUCAGAUUUUCAAUCUAUAAAAGAUCAUAUAUUUGUGCGCAAUCAAAUGACCGAAUCUGGAACUUCUAUAUCGGUAACUGCCAUGUUUUAGUGAGUUUGAGUGAAGAUUAGGUGAUACUUUUUAUGGUUUCAAUAUAUAUAUACACAAAUUUCAUUUCAAAUCCUUCUUUUAUUCUCUUGAUCGAAAUUAUUUUUGCUUUUUUUAUUUUUUCAUGUUUGAUUUUGAUUAUUUUCUUCUCUUCCCAAUUUGAAGUCUCCAUGUAUAAUACUUUUUCCUGGAAAUGAAAUGAAAUUGUAAAAAGGGAAAACAAUUGAAUCUUUUAAGGAAAGAGAUAAUGUUUACAUGGAAAUUUUUUUCAAAAAUUGUUCACAUGGAAGUCUAUUAGAUCAAAAUGCCUUUUUUUAAAGAAUAAAUUCUAAAAUAUAUAUCGGUCUAUUGAUAAUGUAAUUUUUUUAUUCCACAAAUAAUUUUAAAAUAUUGACAUAUAUAAUUUUUUAAAAUAUUUUACUAUAUCUUAACUUCUAACUUUGUUUGUAGACUUUAAAUACUCUACUAAGAGUGUAUCAAAUACUCCAUCAGCAGUGUAAAUUAAAAUGUGUUAUUAAAUUGAUGUCAUGAGUAACAAAUAUUAUUAUGAGGGCUGUAUAUAUUUUUUUUUAUAUUUUUAUAUAUGUAAAAAAAUUUAUAUCUAAAAUAAAUUCACAGGAUUUAAAUUAAGACAUCAAAAUCUAACAAAGACUUAGAUUUAUUGUUUCAACCAAAAUUUCUUUUGUUUUCUAUAUAAACUUUUAUAAAUAUACUUGUACAUUAUUAUUUUUUUCUACUUAUAUAUUGUCAUAAUCAAAUAUAUACAAUAUUUUGAGGAAUAUGGUCGGCAAGUAGAAUAUUUAUCAUAUAUUGAAUUACAUCAAAGGGAAUAAAGCUAAAGAUUGUGUGUCAAGUUUACCCACAAGAUGUGAAAGCAGAUAACUUCCAAGUUAUUUCAAUGCAUACAUAUAUAUAUUGUCCACCUGGACCACCGCUGCAACAUGAGGCUAUUUUAUGUUUUUCUUUUAAUAAUUCAUUACUCCACACGCAGUCGUGGCAAAAAAGUGAACCAACCUUAAGUUUGAAGAAAAAAUGAAUGUGGACUCGGUUAAGUUUCAGUAGUUUCUGCAGUCGAGAGAAGCAUCCGGUUUCCAAUCAAUGUGUGAAAAAGAAGGGAAAAAAAUCACCUGAUGAUGACAAUUAAAUGUAUAUUAAUGUAAAUGGAAUGAUUUUUUUUCAAAUGAGGGCACAGUUCCAAAUGAAUCUCUUGUGGAACCCAUGGUAGGUCUCUAGGUGCUCACCCGUGACACUUCAAUCCUGUUUUUCAAGCUUGAAAACUUCCAUUGACAAUGUGCCAAGAAUAGGAGCAAAAUCGGUUUGUUAGCAGUAACUACGAGCAAUCUCAAUAGUAUUAUUAUAGAGGAAAAUUAAAGGAUUAAAUAAUGAAGACUCUGAACGUUUCUAGUUGCAUUAGAGCUCAUUACAGUUAAGUUUUUUGACAGCAAGUUGUAUUGGUAUCUUGAAAUUGGAGUUCAAUGUGAAAGAUAUGGGUUUGGUUGGAUGUACAUGCCAUGAUACAGUCAGAUUGGAAUAUAGCGAAAUCAAAACAAAACAAAACAAAAAAUGAAACCCAAGAAUAAGAUGAAGGUCUGGCAAGCUAUCCUUCAACAGGGAAGUAAUUAUGUUGUUCUGAAUCUGGAUCCAUUUUGUCUUCAGCAGUUAACUUUUGUGAGUUGUAACUAUCCUAGUUCGGAACAGAGCCAGAGGAGAUGUUUUGUAAAAAAAAUAAAAUAAAGUAUUAGCUACCAUUGUUUAGAAGACCAUUAAAAUCUGUCCCAAUAUCAGAUUAAUAAAGGCUAUUAGGAUGAAUGAUAUAGAUAGAUUAAGUGAUUUGAGGAUCCCAUUUUCUUCCACCAUUAGAGGCUGGGACUUGCUAAUAUUUUAGUGUAAAUCUCCACCUCACUAUCACAAACGUCUGAAGUUUACGAACAAUCUUCUGCCUCAACCAAUUCAAAUUGCAAACAUUAAAUUGAUUUAUGGUAAACUUUUAUUAACUAAGCUUACGUUAUAAUACAACCGAGUUGUGCUCUUAAAGCACUAUAAAACCCGCUUCCUUCACUCCAAAUUCUCCAUACCAUAACUUGUACAUUAGGCAAGAUGGCUUCAAAAAGAACAGCAUCGCUUGCCCUCUUUUUUGCCCUCAACGUUCUCUUCUUUUCUCUAGUCAGUGCUUGCGGUUCUUGCCCUUCCCCAACCCAAAACCAAAGCCCACUCCUUCCCCAUCCCCCUCAGGCAAAUGCCCCCAAGAUACCCUUAAGUUAGGUGUCUGUGCUGAGGUGCUUGGUUUAGUCAAUGUAACUGUUGGUUCUCCCCCAGGGCAACCAUGCUGCUCCCUUCUCCAAGGCCUUGCUGAUCUUGAAGCUGCUGUUUGCCUUUGCACAGCACUCAAAGCUAACGUUUUGGGCAUCAACCUUAAUAUCCCAGUUUCCCUCAGCUUGCUUCUUAA